GGGGGCAAUGUUCCUGGUGACAUCUGAAGAAUUUCUAAAAAGCUUUAGUUACAGCCUCAAUGAACAAUUUACAAGAGAAGAACAAAACUGCCAAAUACAAUUGUAAUGGAGAAAUGUAAAGAAGGGACGAUGGAACAUAGGAGAUAUGAUAUGGAGCUGGCUUAUUUUGUUUUUGCGGGAAAGUAAAUAAGAGGGGAUUUUUAUUUCAAGAUACUUCAGAUUGAAGAGGAAGGUACUUUCAAACAUUAGCUUUACAUGCAUACGUACACAAACACACCUACAUGCACAAACACAAAGAGAAAGCGAGAGCAUUUUCCAAACUGCCAUCAAUAAACCUGCCUGCAACAUAUCUGGGUAUACAUUUUAAAAGAUGAAAUUGCCUGCUGUACAUUUUGUAUGUCACUGAAAGCUUACCAAAUUAUUUUAAGUCUGGCAACCUUGCCCUAUGAGGAGUGGACCAAGGAGCUCUUAAAGUUAAAACAGGACAUAUUAGCCAUGAUAAAAUAUUUGAAAGUCUGUCAUAUUGAAAUGGAGCCAGCAAGUUGUCUGCUGCUGUAGAGACUAGGACAUGAACCAAGUGAUUCAAACCAAAGGAAAACAGAUUCCACCUAAACAUCAGGAAAAACUUCUUGAUGUUCAGAGUUGUUUCUUCCAGCUCGAUGAUUCUAUUCUAUAUUUUACAAUGGUAGGAACAGACAGAAUGUAUGUUGCAGAGCAAACUGACCAUAACCCUAGAAAACCACUACAUGUGCGGGCCUGCUCUAAAUUCCUUUGGUUUUACAUUCAGUUCCAAUACGCUGUGAUAAAUUCAUGCUAAUAAGAAACGGUAGGCUCCAGUUCCAGUGACAGUAUAGGUAGGUCUUUGGAGAAGGAGUAGUGUACAGUGGCAGAAAUAAAUUAUGUGUUGCUUUCUACAAGUGCUGGGUGAUCUCUUUUCGAGAGUGUUAGCUAUCUCUAGAGCUGGUUGCUGCAAUGUAACACUACCUUUGUCAAAUUGGUUAGCUAAGCUGCAAGCUAAUGGAUGGCAAGGUCACUAGGGCAGUCCUUUGACACUCUGGCAGAGAGAUGAAAAUUAUUCAUCUUUACACAGCUUGAGCAUUUCAUCCUCAGGGAAAUGCUUAAAGGUGAUAUGACUGCUUGCCCUUCACACUUUUGUAACUGCCCGGGGUUAACAGUAAAUUCUACCAGCUACUUCACAAGAGGUUUGUCACCUAGGAUCAUACUAAAUCAUUAGUUUUUUAAGGAUUAUUUUUAUUAUCUCAUGCCCAAUCCCUCGGUCUAGGUACACAGUGUUGUGGGAUAUCUUUUUCAUGGGAUAGCUAUUCAAAAGUUUGCAACAUACAGCUGGUAACUUUACUUUAAAACUGUAGGGAUUCAUAUGUUCGGUUUUUCAGUCUACACAAUGUUUCAUUUCUAAAUUGACUUGUUCACAGAAAUAUUUCCAAAACACAAUGAAACAAAAUAUUUUCUCUCUCUUUCUCUCCCCUUAUCUGUUUAAAGUGACAAAAACCAGGAGAUAGCAACUGGAAUCACAGCUAACUGAAAUCAUGAUGUAGGAGUAGAUAAUUGUUGCCCCCCCCCCCUCCAGUUAUUUGGAAUUGCGAUUCCCAUCUGGACCCAUCACUGCCUAUGCCAGUUAGGUCUCAUCAUUGUGGGCUGAUUAUGUCUGGAGACCUACAGCUGUCCAUCCCAGUUACAAGACAUAAUCUUAGGAAGCUGGUCUCUUCAUUACAAAAUAGUCUUCAAUCAGGAUUAUUUUUCAGCCAAACAUCAGUAUUCAUGAAGAGAAUAGAUGACAAAACAAGUGGUUGUAUCCAUAUUUCAGACAUUCCUGGAUGACAGCUUCCAAUCUGGGAGUGAGCAUGGGAAGUUAAGAUCCCUGAAGUCUGUCUGGGGAAGAAAAAGAACACAACCCGUGUUCCCUACAACUAGCACACUCCACUUAGCCACCCACCUGGAUUUACUCAUUGACGAACACACAGAGGUGGCCAUGCUCUUGCAUCAUGUGCUCCUUGGCAGCUAAUCAGGGUCAGCCAGGAAGAAAAUCUUCAGAAUCUGUUAUCAGAGACUAUGCAAAGAACUGGCAUGCUCCUCCUCCUCCUCCUCCUCCUCCUCCUCCCUAUAUGGCUAAUAAAAUACCUUACAAAAAUCAGGUAGGCAGAUGUAAAAAACAAGAUCAUAGACUUGGAGUCAGUCAAGCAGAGGGACAGGCCUUGCCCUCAUGCCACCUUAAAAUGGCUCCCCCAAAGGAGUGAACCCCCUUUGGUGGCAACCCCAUCCCUGCAGACAUCUUUCUUUUGUUCCACAGCCUCUGGAGGCAAGCAGCUAUUUUUGCUGGGAGUGCAAAUCUUGCAUUCAGUCUGAAAAGAGCCAGUCCUUCACAACAGGAGCUGAGGUCUGAGAUAGCACAUAACAGGCAAACACUGCCUCUUCCUUCCCUGCUGAUGUUCCUUCUGGUUCUUCUGGAUGAUGUUGUUAGCAUCCUAUCAGCAACCCAUCAAGGGUGAAAUUAAUAACAAGAUAUACAUUACAUGUCCGGGAUUUCAAGAAGACUGCCUGACUGUAUAGGAAGACUGCAUUGUUCAACAUUCAUGUCUGUUUACCUUAUAGAGAAUUUAUUUAAUUUUCAUCUUCUUCAAACUGCUCCAAUAGACAUCAUCUCCCUCAUUUCUCUCAAAUCAUAAUCUGGGAAGAAAACAUUGCAAAUACUAGCAUCCUGUCCUUGAGUUUUCUGUGUCUUAGAACAGAUUUGAGGAAUAUUGUUAGAUUGGCUGGCGGUUGCCCUUCUUAAAUACACAAGAAUGCUAUCCAGAAGAUAAAAGCAUUACUCAUUUGAGACAUCUCAUGGUUCCGGACAGUAUUUUGAAAGCUCAUUCUGCCAGUUGUCUUUUAAGUUAAUUAGAAUUCUGUGUAUAAAGUCUGUAAGGACCAAUGCAAUGACAAGAAGGAAUAGCAGCCAACAAUAUUUAAUUCCUGAUCUACAACUGUAAACAUGUGUUUGCUAGAUGAAAAGCAUUUACUUCCUAGAUGAACUUCCAGUUUCUUACUGCAUUCUAAUACAGUUUGGAAAGGUAAUGUAUCAGUCUUUUUUAGUGGUCUAAAACUGAAGAGAAAGGAAUUUCUAGACCAGAAUUUCUCAAACUGCUCCUCCAGAUAUUUUUGACUUCAACUCCCACAAUUCUUAACAGCUAGUAAGCUAGGUGGGGUUUCUGGGAGCUGAAGUCCAAAAUACCUGGAGGAGCACAGUUUGAGAAAUACUGCUCAAGAGAUACAAUUCAAUGAAGCCAUCAAUGGGAGCUGUUGAUUUCAGUAUCAAUGGAGUAAUUAAAUCUUCAAAACACAUCCUAUGUUGUAAUGUAAAAUAUCAGUGGUGACUCUCUACAGAAGGCAUCAUUUCUUUUCAAGAUAUUUGGUACUUCUGAAGCAAAUUGGUUGUGCAGAAUAUUGACCAGGUUAUAAUCAAUUCAACACCUCCAAGUUUCAUUGAUUUCCAUCUCAGUUACAGCAUUUACAAGACAUGCUUCCAGAAAGGAUUGGUCAGUUUUCCAUCAGUGGAAAAAAGAACUGAUAUUGAAGACAGGAAGUUUCUGACAGCUGUACCGAAAGAUUUGUCUUCCUGAGUAAUGAAUAAACAUAGGAGUAUGAGCCAUGCAGGAAACAUCUUGCAGUUGAAGUUACAGAUCUGUGUAAUGGCUGUUAGGCAGAGCAUUCGUUUGCUUUACAAUUGUCUUUGCUACUUUCUUUUUUGAACUGACAGUUAUAUUGAUACAUAAAUGAUAUGUGCAAUUUUUUCUGUGUAGUAAUGUAUGGAAAACUCAGUUAUUGGAGUAAGCUUAACUGGCCCUGAUGAGCUCUUAUUAUUUAACACUAUUGAAUUUGAGUAAUAGUCAACUCUACUUUAUAAAUGGUACAUAAUAGCAAGAAGUAUGAGCCUUCUAAGACAUUUGAGAGAUUAGUGGGGAAGCUAUAAUAGCCCUUAAGACAGUUUGCUAGGAAUAAUGCUCUUCAGAACUUUCUCUACUUACCUCAUAGUUGCCUUGCUGUCAAGAGCAUGUGCUCCCCUCCAUGCCAGUGAAUUGUUUAGUGGCAAUUUGCUUCUAAAAUAUUUACUUGCAUUCAUCAAGAAAGUGGCUAUGGCAACCAUACUGUGUGCCAACAGAUUGGAAACACGAUCCCACUGUGGCAAUGUUUUGUUAGUUAAGAAUAUUUAAAACCAUCUAGAUGAGACAGAAAAAUGAAAUGUGUUUUAUCCUUGUGCCUGACCUUUUUACAUAUAAAAUGGGCUUACUGUUAUCUAUUUUUUAUUUUUAUAAUAAAUGGACUGAUUGUUCAGUAGGAAACUAUUCUAUCCCUCCUGCUGUGCUAUACUCAAAUAAUGUUUUCUCAUCACUAAUUUUCUUUUGGGAUUAGAACUGGAACCAUGCUGUGUUUCCUAAGCAUUUUGAGAGGAAGCAGUGGUGUUGAAAACAUGAUCUGAUGCAAUUUAAAGUGCAGAUGCAUCUUUUUAGUGCUGAUUUCUGUAGGGAUUUUAUUCUCUAGAGGUAAUAAUAAUAAUAAUUUUAUUUCUUACCUGCCUCAUGGCUCAAGGUGGGUCACAGCACAGUCAAACACACAAACAUCACAAAAAAUCCUUGAAAAACACAUACUAAAAUAUUUCUAUGUAAUAUAUUUUAAAUACACAGGACAGAGAUUUAAACACAGGGUACGAGUUUAAAAUUCAUGCUUAAUACUGGCUGGGUAGGCCUGCCAGAAAACAUAGGUCUUUUAGCCAAAAAUGGUGAAUCAUAGGACUUGUGUUCUUACAAAAUUUGGAAGUCCCAUCAUUUGUUGAUGUCUAGUUUAUGAUUUCCAAGAUACAGGCUUGUGUAGUGACUGUUGUCACAAACCUUUGAACUUUCACAGAGGAAGUAAAGGUUGACAUUUAUCUAACUUAACAGGAUACGACAACUCAAUUAAUGGUAUUAUUUUUGAAAUAUCAAACCAAAUCUUCAAAGCAAAGACUUCCUUCUUCAUAUUAAUUCUUGCUCUGAACCCCAAGGCAGGAUUUGUUGUAAAUACUUCAGAGUGUUAAUUGAAAUGGAGUUCAUAAUAAUUAGGUUAGCUUUGGCCAGUCAAAAGUGAUUUCGUAUCUCAUUUUAAAUGGCCUUGUUUACUAUAGGCAAGAGAGAGAACAUUAGUCAAAUGUUCAGCAUAUGUCAGUAAUUUAUUUUAAAAAAUAGGCUUUGUAACAAGAUGUUUCACAAUGUCUAGCAGAAAAACAAAUAUGCAACUCACUCGGAAGCAUAAUGACACUACCUUUAGAACUCCCUCCCCACUGAGAUUAAAACUGUCCCUUCCCUCUUAUCUUUCAAGAACCAGUUAAAGACCUACCUGUUCAAGCAAGCUUUUGAUGAGGGAAUUCAGUUGCUAAUGAUAUCAAGGUCAAUUUGCACUGAGCUUAGCAAAAUGUAUUAUUAUAUUGAUGUGUCUCCACAAUAAUUGUAAUUGGUUUUAAAUGUUUUUUAAUUCUAAAUAUUUAUAUCUUAUUUCUGAAUGUUGUUAUGCUUUGUGUAAUUUUUGUCUUGUGUUUUAUGUUAAAUGUGCUUUGAUAUGUAUUAUAUUAUGUUGUGAGCUGCUUUGGGUCCCAUUAGGGAGAAAAGUGGGAUAUAAGAUUUUUUAUUAUUAAUAAUAUUGUUUCCAAGCCAAGAAUGCUCUCCUGACUAGGAUAUAAUUGAAUUUGCAAAACUCCGGAUUAAAAUGUGUGUAAGUAACAUUCAAACUUUGGUUUUAAGCUCUUGUUCAAACAUUGCUUUAGUUGUGGGUAGCCUUGUGUUGUUUUUUUUUUAAUGUUUUGCUGGACAAUCAAGGAUGCAUAAAGCUAUGCUUCCUAUAAUUUUAUAUUUUAUCAUUACAACUUUUCUAGAUCCCAGUGAAAUUAGUUUUGAAUAGGGAUGUGAAUUUAUGAAAACAAGAAACUGAGUCCCUUUUUCUCCAAAGGAGAGGGGGGAAAGGUGUCAUGUUUUUUGCAAUGUGUGCCUAAAGUGAAAUCAAUUUUAGUCAAAAAAUCAACUCAAAAAACUAGGGUCAAAGUGAGUAUUGUACUUCAACUCUUAUCAAAAAAUGGAACUAUCUCCUUCUCUAAGCAGAGCAGUAAAAGGUGAGAGCUUAAUCUGUCCCAGGAGAACCUUUAAAAAGCAAUGAACCCCUCUACACUCUUCACGAUGGCACCACUUCUUGCCUUUUUGAAUGCCUGGGUCAGUAAAUGACAAUAGCACCUGGCCCCCUGAGGCACCAUUGGUGCUUUGCCAUAUCUACAAAUGAGCCAAAAAUUUUCCGUCAGCUUAUGUGAUGACUCAUGGGCCAUGUAGUCCCGUUCCUAGUACUGUUGUGACAGAUGAAGAGGAAAACUUGGGUUUCCCACCGUUUCUGCCAGAUUUGGAGCCCUUGCAGCUGCAGGAUGUUUGCCCACAAGAAGUCAGACAAACAAGCCUUGAGGAGAAAUCUCCCCCAUUUUCUCGCCACCUUUAUUAUAAUCAAGAUAGACACGCUUGGGAGGCGACUCGCCGAAGCGCCCGGAUAGCUGCCAGACAAUUAGAUGAUUAAGUCUGUUUCCCUUGGGAAAGUUUAAGGAGUCCUGCAUCUGGACAGUAUAGGUUUCGGUUCUUGUUCCCCAGAGAAAGUGUGCUUUGGCGGGAAAACAAGAUCCUAUAUAGAUGUUUGGCCACAAAGGAUUCCUUGCGGAGUCAAUUCGUCAGCUCGUGGAGUGAGAUCGUGUGUAGACUUCGUACCCCAGUUCCCAGCUCCUGAACCAAGUUUCCAGCCCUGCCUUGUUCCACGGAUUUCUAUGGCCUCAGUUCUUGUUCCACGAUUGUCUUGUUUCAAGUUGGACCUUGCCAAGUCUCAAGUCUUGCCCUGCCUUGCGUUUUAAACCACGGACCCUGUUUCUCGGAUUCCAGCCUUGUUUUCCUCUCCUUCGGAUUUACCUUGAGCCUCAAAGACUAUGGACAGUUCCCCACACUAUUGCUUGCUAAAUAGUGUGUGUUUCGGUGAAGUGGAUUAUAACUUUGGGCUUUAAUAUCAUAUAUUGGACAUUGUUUUCCUGGACUAUAUUUGACCUUUCUUGAAAGGUCUAUUUCUGAACUAUAUUCUACACUUGUUUUUAUUGACUUUAUAUAUUCCCUUAAUAAAGAUAUUAGAUAGAUUCUGGCCUCUGCGCGUGGUUAUUGGUGCUCUGCAGCCUGGGUCCUGACAGUUUGACUCCGCCACCUUAAGCACCAAUUAACCUAGGCCAGAAUGUCUACUGGAACCAGGGCGGAAGCCCAACCACUCAGCUAUACCAUCUCCAAGGAUGAAGUGGACAGAAUCCGAGAUAUGCUCCAUACGCAGGAGGGAGAAAUACGGGGCUUGAAGGAACGCGGAAUCCGUCUCCCUGCCCUGGCAUUGCCAACCAAGUUUUCUGGAGAAGCUUCCAAGGUUCAUGUUUUCCGUCGCCAAUGCCAGGCCUAUCUAGAAGCCCGUCAUGCCGAGUUUCCCCAAGAAGACAUCAAGGUAGCGUGGAUCUACAGUCUCCUAGACGGGCCAGCGGCCAACUGGGCGACGGCGCUAUUUGAUGAAGCCUCCCCACACCUAAGUUCCGCGCAAAACUUCCUGGAUCACCUUAAGGCGACUUGGGGAAUCGAGGACAAUUUAGAGGCGGCCGGCCACAAACUCCGGCGCCUUCUCCAAGGCCCAUGUCCCAGUACAUAGCCGAGUUCCGAGUGCUGGCCCAAAACACCGGCUGGAAUGACGUAGCCCUCAGGGGACAGUUUCGGGAGGGUCUCAACAUCGAGAUGUUGGAAGAAAUCUCCAAGGUGGAUCCCCCAAACUCUCUUGAGAGACUUAUUGACCAAUGUUUACGAGCCGAAGUCAUGCUUGCCAACAGAAAACAGUGGCUCCGAGGCCAGAGUGGAAGAGCAGGAGUAAAACCUCCCGCUCCUGCCGGCAUCCAACCACGUCCAAUGUGGAGACCCCCACCACCAGCCCCAUACCCCAGAGGAAGCGAGGAGGUGCCGAUGCAGUUGGGCAAUGUGCGUCCCAGAUUAGAUGUUGCUGAGAAGGCCCGCCGUCAACGUUUAAACCUCUGUUGGUACUGCGGGAACGGGGGCCACUUUGCCAGAGAGUGUCCAGCCAAAGGAAAACCCGCCGCUCGUUUGGCGGCGGCGUCCUCCGUGGAGAAGGAGGCGGCCGAGGCGGCAGGCGCAAAGCCGGCGGGGGAAGCCAGCGACCGGGCGUAGAGAGGCUCGCCAACCUGGUCAAAAACCCCAUUCAAGAGCCGCAAACCGGGGUCCUAUUUCUCCUAGUGGUCACCUUGUGGUCAGCGAAAAAAGGACCCGUCAUGAUCCAUGCCAUGAUAGACUCAGGAGCAACAAACAAUUUCAUCGAUAGAGAGUAUGCCGACUCUCUGGGAUUACAAUAUCAUGAUUUCAAGAACGCCCGGGUGGUGCAAGCCAUAGAUGGCCGUCCCCUAAAGACAGGUCCAGUAAGUCAAUGGUCUGAACCCACCAGAAUGUGGAUAAGGGAACACAUGGAAGAGAUUUCCUUCUUUGUUACCGAGGUUCCCCACUUCCCUGUGAUUUUGGGAAUUCCAUGGCUGACACUCCACGACCCAAAAAUCUCCUGGACCAACAGAGAACUGCAGUUUGAUUCUAAAUAUUGCCAAAACCAUUGUCUUGUAGCCAAGGUCUGCCAUUCCACAGACACUGAACCCAUCAUCACCUUGCCCAAGAAAUACUCAGACUUUUGGGAUGUUUUCAAUGAAAAGGAAGCCGAGAAACUACCCCCGCAUAGGCCCUAUGAUUGUGCCAUUGACUUGGUGGAGGGGGCCCCGAUUCCGCGAGGACACCUCUACUCCCUGACUGAACCAGAGCAGGAAGCUCUCAGGGAGUUCAUAGAGUCAAACCUCCGCAAGGGGUUCAUCAGACCCUCUCAAUCCCCAGCCGCUUCCCCAGUGAUGUUUGUGAAAAAGAAGUCAGGGGACCUACGCUUGGUGGUGGACUAUAGAGCAUUGAACAAUAUCACUAAACGGAACCGCUAUCCCCUGCCUUUGAUCUCGGACCUAUUAGACCGGCUUCGAGGGGCCAAGAUUUACACCAAGCUGGAUCUUCGGGGGGCUUACAAUCUAGUUCGCAUCAGGGAGGGGGACGAGUGGAAAACCGCCUUCCAGACUAAAUUCGGAUUAUUCGAGUCCCUAGUCAUGAAUUACGGUUUAUGUGGAGCUCCAGCAACGUUCCAGCACUUUGUCAAUGAUAUCUUUCAAGAUUAUUUAGAUCGAUUCUUGAUCAUAUACUUGGACGGUUUUUUGGUGUUUUCUAGAUCACAAUCAGAACAUGAGAAACACGUCAGAAUGGUGUUACAACGAUUGCGGGAUCAUGGACUAUAUGCCAAGUUGGAAAAAUGCGCUUUUGAUCUACAAGAGGUAGAAUUCCUGGGAUACCGUGUCUCGCCACAAGGGCUCACCAUGGACCCGGCAAAGGUUUCAACAGUAUUGGAAUGGCGGGCGCCAACCAACAAGAAAGAGGUGCAGCGUUUCUUGGGGUUCGCGAACUACUACCGCAAGUUCAUUCCAGACUUUGCCCGCUGGUCUGAUCCAAUCACCAGCUGCAUCCGUGGAAAACAGCCCUUCCGCUGGACGGAGCAAGCAGAGGAAGGAUUCCAGCAACUAAAGAAGCUAUUCACGUCCCAGCCAAUUUUACAGCACCCUGAUCCUAAGACCCCUUUUGUUGUGCAGGCUGACGCCUCCGAUGUGGCAAUCGGGGCUGUACUCAUGCAACCAGUGGGAGAACAUCUUCACCCUUGUGCCUUUUACUCCCGUCAACUAACAGCCCCAGAGAGGAAUUACACUAUUUGGGAAAAGGAACUUUUGGCCAUAAAGGCAGCCUUUGAAAAUUGGAGACAUUGGUUAGAAGGGGCCAAAUUUCCCAUUGAGGUUCAUACUGACCAUCGUAAUUUGGAACAUCUAAGAACUGCCCGCAAGUUAAAUCAAAGGCAGCAGCGCUGGGCUUUGUUUUUUGAGCGUUUUAACUUCCAGAUCCAUUAUGUAACCCCUGCUCAGACCAAGCAAGCAGAUGCUCUUUCACGAAAACCAGAGUAUGCCGCAGGGCGCAGAGAGACCUUCGAAUCCCAAUUGCUACAGCCUGAAAACUUUGCCACGCUCACAGUGGGAAACACCAAAUCCACUGCAGUUGAACCAACUCCCUCUACUCCAGGACCCCUUUGUGCUCAAAAAAUUAGAGCCAGUCAACAAGCAGACGCCUGGGCUCAAGAUCAAAUUCGCCAAGGACUACGUUUCCCUUUCUCACUAAGGGAUGGGCUACUAUGCUACAGAAAUCAUGUCUACAUCCCUCCAGGACCUGGCAGAGAAAAGGCACUUCACCUAUGUCAUGACUGCAAGCCAGCAGGACAUUUUCGGCUAUUUAAAACCAUGCAUUUGAUCCUACGAGAUUUCUGGUGGCCCAAGAUCCGUAAGGAUGUGGAGAAAUAUGUCAAUACCUGCCCGGUAUGCCAGCGUUCUAAGACAAGAAAGGAGAAGCCCUCAGGGCUACUGCAUCCCCUUCCUACUCCAUCUCGUCCAUGGGAGAUAAUUUCUGCGGAUUUUAUCACUGACCUACCACCUUCUCUUGGUUUCACCACGAUCCUAGUGGUGGUGGACAUUUUUACCAAGUUGGCCCAUUUCAUUCCCUGCGAUGGCCUUCCCACGGCCAAAGAGACUGCAGAUUUAUUCCUUCAGCAUAUUUUCAGACUACAUGGUUUGCCCAAGAGUUUAGUCACAGACCGUGGAUCUCAAUUCACCUCUCGUUUCUGGAAGGCACUGCAAAAACUAUUGAGCAUAGACUCUCGUUUAUCUUCAGCUCACCAUCCCCAAACGGAUGGGCAAACUGAGCGCACCAAUGCCACUCUGGAACAAUACCUUCGCUGUUAUGUAAACUAUCAGCAGGACAAUUGGGCUUCCCUGUUACCUCUGUCAGAGUUUGCCUACAACAAUGGUGUCCAGGCUUCAACUAAAGAAACCCCGUUCUUUGCAGACUACGGCUUCCAUCCACGUUUCUUUCCCUCUGUCGUUGAAACUUCAGAAGUCCCCGCAGCGGAGGACUGGCUGCAAGAACUCACAGCGGUGCAACAACUAUUGCUCCAGCAACUGGACCAAGCCAAGGAGGACUAUAAACGCCACACUGACAGUCAUCGCCAGCCGGGCCCCGAGAUCAAGGUAGGAGAUCGGGUUCUUCUGUCCACUCGCUUUUUGCCCUCUCAACGCCCCUGCCGAAAGCUAGAUGCUCGUUUCAUUGGUCCCUAUCCAGUGGUGGCGCAACUUAACCCCGUGACUUUCAAACUCCAACUCCCGCGCUCUAUGCGCAUUCAACCAGUGUUUCAUCGCUCCCUGCUCCUUCCGGCGGAUGGUGUGCGCUCUGAUGCAGACCGGCCGGCCCCCACUCCUGUUUUGGUGGACGGGGAGGAGGAAUUCGAGGUUCAGGACAUUUUGGAUUCUCGCUUCCACCGCUGCCGCCUUCAGUAUCUCAUUGACUGGGUGGGUUUUGGACCCGAAGAACGCUCUUGGGAAGACGCUUCCACAGUCCAUGCCCCUGAUUUAGCCCGCCGCUUCCAUCAGGCCUACCCUGCCAAGCCGCGACCCCGCGAAUCGAGGAGAGAGGCCAAGUUUGAGGGGGGCCUUGAGGAGGGGGAUAGUGUGAUGACUCAUGGGCCAUGUAGUCCCGUUCCUAGUACUGUUGUGACAGAUGAAGAGGAAAACUUGGGUUUCCCACCGUUUCUGCCAGAUUUGGAGCCCUUGCAGCUGCAGGAUGUUUGCCCACAAGAAGUCAGACAAACAAGCCUUGAGGAGAAAUCUCCCCCAUUUUCUCGCCGCCUUUAUUAUAAUCAAGAUAGACACGCUCGGGAGGCGACUCGCCGAAGCGCCCGGAUAGCUGCCAGACAAUUAGAUGAUUAAGUCUGUUUCCCUUGGGAAAGUUUAAGGAGUCCUGCAUCUGGACAGUAUAGGUUUCGGUUCUUGUUCCCCAGAGAAAGUGUGCUUUGGCGGGAAAACAAGAUCCUAUAUAGAUGUUUGGCCACAAAGGAUUCCUUGCGGAGUCAAUUCGUCAGCUCGUGGAGUGAGAUCGUGUGUAGACUUCGUACCCCAGUUCCCAGCUCCUGAACCAAGUUUCCAGCCCUGCCUUGUUCCACGGAUUUCUAUGGACUCAGUUCUUGUUCCACGAUUGUCUUGUUUCAAGUUGGACCUUGCCAAGUCUCAAGUCUUGCCCUGCCUUGCGUUUUAAACCACGGACCCUGUUUCUCGGAUUCCAGCCUUGUUUUCCCCUCCUUCGGAUUUACCUUGAGCCUCAAAGACUAUGGACAGUUCCCCACACUAUUGCUUGCUAAAUAGUGUGUGUUUCGGUGAAGUGGAUUAUAACUUUGGGCUUUAAUAUCAUAUAUUGGACAUUGUUUUCCUGGACUAUAUUUGACCUUUCUUGAAAGGUCUAUUUCUGAACUAUAUUCUACACUUGUUUUUAUUGACUUUAUAUAUUCCCUUAAUAAAGAUAUUAGAUAGAUUCUGGCCUCUGCGCGUGGUUAUUGGUGCUCUGCAGCCUGGGUCCUGACAGCUUAUAAAUAGAGUCAGCUUAUACAUGACUAUAUUCAUUACUUUAAUCAUUUGGGGAAGGGGGGAAAGGUUAAGAAUCCCGAGAAUUAACAUGUUCACUUUACAGAUAUCUCCAGCUAAAAGAAAUUGUAUGUUCCUGCUGAAACAGUUGCCCCAUCUCAAGAAUUCAGUUAAAGCUUGUUCAUGUAUUUAAUCAGUUGUGUCUGGUGCUUCUGCUCAGGGGCGGCUCAAGGCAUACGCAAAGUACAUGGUUGCAAAAGGCACCUCUAGAGGGCGCCGCGCUGCUCAGGGUCAGGGCCGGAGGGUCAGGGCCUCACCCGUUAGAGGGACGGAGGGAGGCUGUGCCGCAGCGGAAGAAGAGCCCGGCCCCUCCCCUUCUCCCUCCUUCCCUUCGUGGUCCCGUCGGCCUGGGCUCCUGUGAGCCCGGGAUAAGUGCCUAAUUUGGCCACUGCUGCCUCCUCCUCCUUCUCCCCAGCCUCUCUUGUGUUGCUCUUCCCUCCCACUGGGGUUCCUUUCCCACUGCUGCAACCCUCUCUGCCGUCCCAUUCCCUCCUCCCCUUUCCCUCCCCUUCCCUCUUCUCUCUCCCUCUGCCUCUCUUGUGGCACCUGCUUCUGCUUGUUUUUCUCGGUGGAGGAAUUUGGGCCGCAGCUGCUGCUGCUGCCUGGGGCCGUGUGUCCCUCAUGGCGCCCUGUGUGCCAUUCGGGACGCCCGUGGAAGGACCCUCAGGGCUCUUCCACACAGCCAUAUAACCCAGAAUAUCAAAGCAGAAUAACCCGCAAUAUCUGCUUUGAACUGGGUUAUCUGAGUCCACACUGCCCUAUAUCCCAGUUCAAUGUUUGGUGCUAAAAUCAUAAAUAUAGUAAUUUCUACAUAACAUUACCAUGUAUUGAACUGCCUUUUCUGUUGAUUUCUUGUAAAACGUGAUGUUUUGGUGCUUAAUUUGUAAAAUCAUAAUGCAAUUAGAUGUUUAAUAGACUUUUCCUUAAUCCCUCCUUAUUAUCCAACAUUUUCGCUUAUCCAAAGCUUUUAUUUUUCAGUGAUUGGUUUGGGUGUGUGUGUGUAAAGGACUAUGAACGACUAAGGUUCUUUCAGGAAGGGGGAAUCUUUUUAUCCCACCGCUGCCACCAAUUUGUGAAGAUGCAACCACCAAAGACUCAGAGAGGAGACCUUUUACUUUCCCCCCCUUCUUCUUAUUCACUUGAGAUGGUAACACAACUUGGUUUAUAAUAUAUGUGACAGAGGCUUAGAUGUUGGAGGAACAAUAACAAGUUUAUUCAGGCUCAGAGCUUAGUGGUUACAAAUGUUGUUUCUCACUUAGAGGCACUUUUAUUAACAGUUACAAUACUAGAAUGAGGUGAGUCAAACUCCCUAAAGUGUCACUUCUUUUACUUAAAGUAGUUAGAACUUCUUCCUCUGCUACUUUUAAACCGUAGUCACCCCUGUGAUAUACCAUCACAGAUUCUCUGUUCCUUACCAGGACACAGACUACAUUAAAUAAGUCACCAAACUCAUUUUAAACCGACUCAAAAUGAACAAUUGAGUCUCCUUGAUCCCCUCAACCUAGGAUCAAUCUUCCCUGUGCCUCAUCAGAGCACAGACUGAAUCCCUUUUUUUAAAACUCUGCACUUUUUCAAUAAAACGGCAGUUGGCUCCGCCUACUUCUCCAUGGUAACCAGCCUCUGAGUGCUGAGAUGCAAUAACUAUAAUACUUACCCUUUUAAAACACAAACACACAAUUAAACAUAACAUCUGUAAACCAAAAAUUCAUACUUCAUUACAGGGUAGGCACCAAAAUUCUGUUCACUUACCCUUGAAAAUUACCUAGGGCCAGUCCUGCUUCUGCUUUAGUGUGGCAUUUUAUCUACUCUGGGUUUGAGUCUAAACUUCAAAAGACCUAUCCAUAUCCAAGGAAUUGGGAGAGCAGAUUCACCAAUGCACUGAUGUGGGGAGCCAUAAUUUCCUUAAGUGCUGUUUAGUUCUGUUUCUCUUAUAAGUGCAGUAGAAAGUCAAGCUGUUAUCUCCACCCUCUCUUUGUUGUUCUAUGCCAGUGAUGGCGAACCUAUGGCACACAUGCCAGGAAGGGCACACAAUGCCCUCUCUCCUGGCACAUGGGCCAUCAUUUGGCCCAUGCUUGCUGGCCCUCCCAACCCUGCUUGCUUGCUUCCCCAUUUGCCCACUCACUAGCUCCUGCUGCUCACACACUUGCCCGCCCCCCUACUUGCCUGUUUACAUCCCCAUUCGUUUGCUCUCCCAUAAGUACAUACAGCUGCUCUGAGUUCUCCUUGGAGUGAUUAGUGUGGGAUAUAAAUGUAGUAAAUAAAUGUAGUAAAUGAAUAAAUAAAUAAUUUUGGACUUAAGCUCGCCCAAAGUCUGAAAAGACUUGAAGGCGCACAACAACAACAAUCCUAAUUAACCUGACUAUCUCAUUGGCCAGAAGCAGGCCCACACUUCCCAUAGAAAUCCUGAUAGGUUUAUGCUGGUUAAAAUUGUUUUCAUUUUUAAAUAUUGUAUUGUUCUUUCAUUGUUAUUGUCGUUGUUUUGCACUGCAAAUAAGAUAUGUGCAGUGUGCAUAGGAAUUUGUUCGGGUUUUUUCCCCAAAUGAUAAUUCGGCCCCUCAACAGUCUGAAGGAUUGUGGACCGGCCCUUUGCUUUAAAGGUUUGAGGACCCCUGAUGUAGAUGAAUCUUUAUUUAAUACAGAUUCAAUUGUUGGUAACAGUUCUUAAAUAGCUGUUAGAAAAAUCAUGCAGGCAGAUGGAUAUGUUUUCUGAAUGCAGAAUCCUGGGGCUACAAUUAACAUUGUUAUGGAUGAGAAGCUAUGGUGGGGAGUAAUUUGUUUUUCUAAAUAUAUAAAGUGGUUGAUAAAGGAGAAAAUGCUGAAUGAGUCCCAUGUCUUUUGGUUCUAAAUUUUACACAUGGGUUCUGUAAUGACUAGUGAGGUGUGGCUUUUGAGAGAAACUCUUCCCAUAUUCCAAGCACUGAAAUGGUUUCUCCCCUGUGUGAGUUGAUUGAAGACAAGUGAGACUAGAUUUGCAAGUGAAACAUUUCCCACUCCCCCACACACUGAAAGGACUUUUCUCCAGUAUGAGUUGCUAGAUGACAACUGAGGGUUAUUUUUAACCAAACAUCCAUUUUAAUUUUAAUUGAAAUAUUGCAUCUUGCUCAUUUGAUUGGAAAGAAAGACAAAGGACUUGGAACAUCUGGUUUUAAAAUUAAUUUGUUAAUGUUAAAUGGUUGCAAUUGAGAAGUUAAAUCAUUCUCACUAAUCCUAACAAUUCAGAUAGUUUAAUUCAUUAAGUUAAUGUGCUUGUCUCAUUACUUUAAAUGUUAAUUUUAGAAACAGGUCAUGGGAUUAACAAAGAAUAGCAUAGAGAUUUUCAAUGUUGACCCCUAGGGGUCCUUAUUGGUUACUCUAUGCUCAUUUUGAUGUUUUAAAGAUUCAUUUAACAAAAUUGCAUAUUUCUGCAGAUGUAAAAGUUUGUUGCAUCACAGUCAUUGGCUAGGGGAUGUGGGGGCCCAACAAACUGGAAAUUGUCAAAUUAGGAAAGGGUGUUCCAAAGGACUUUCAUCUACAACAUGUUAUCCAAUUGAGUUUGAUUACUGAUCUAUAUCUCCUGUUUUUACACUCUUGCCAACAUGUACUUCAUCUAUUCACUCUUUAAACACAUAGUUGGUAAAAACAAUAAGUAAUGAUGAUAAAGGUUAGUGAGGAAUUAUGUGUUUAUAUCAGCUGGAAUACACUAAUCCAUUACAAGAGCAGUAAUAAAUGUCUGGUUACAAUGAUCAGUCAGGAAGAGCUUGACGAGUAGGAAGAGCAAGCACUCAUUGGUGCCUGCAAUGCAGAGAUCCUCACCUAGUAUUUGAUAUGUAAUGUGAACCCAUAUUCUUCACACCAAAUGUUUAGGUAUCAACAUUUUGUUAGACAGAUGACACCUUCUCCUCCUUCUCUCAGGGCUCUUAGAUGUGGAUGCUGGCUAUUUGGGAGAAGCUAAUUUUGAUUGAAAUAUAAUCAUCAUCAUCAUCAUUUUUAUUUGUAUCCCGCCCAUCUCCCAAGGAGACUUGGGGCAGCUCACAACAUAAAUAAUACAAUAAAAUACAAUACAACAUGCUACAUGGAGUGGGAUAAACAGUUAAUAUUGCCAGAUAUUGCCAGAUUCCUUUGUAUCAGCCACCUUUGUUUCCAAAGUAGAGACCCAACAAAAACCUUGUUUCUGAGGAUUCCAGUCUCAUUGAGACCUAAUCAGACCAUAAGGAGUCCCUUGUAAGUUGGAGGCAAACCUGUCACUGUGACAUAUUUCUCUGAACACACACAUCCCUAAAUAAUAGUCUUUAAGGCCUUCCAAACAAAACCUUUGUAAGUAUAAAAUUAGAAUACAUGCAAUCUAUGGUGGCACAGUGUGUUAAAGCGCUGAGCGACUGAACUUGCAGACCAAAAGGUCCCAGGUUCAAAUCCGGGGAGCGGAAUGAGAGCCUGCUGUUAGCCCCAGCUUCUGCCAACCUAGCAGUUUGAAAACAUGCAAAUGUGAGUGCAUCAAUAGAUACCGCUCCGGCGGGAAGGUAAUGGCGCUUUAUGCAGUCACGCCAGCCACAUGACCUGGAGAUGUCUAUGGACAAUGCUGGCUCUUCGGCUUAGAAAUGGAGAUGAGCACCAACCCCCAGAGUCGGUCACGACUGGACUUAACAUCAAGGGAAACCUUUACCUAUGUCUUAAAAAUUAUUGUUGUUUAGUAGAUGUAGCACAAAAAAUCCUUCUAUAACCACGGGAAAGCCAAAGAAGAGACAGAUGACAUUAUUUAUGAGAAAAAUGGUCCUGAAUAUUUUUAAACAGGAAAGGGGGAACAUCUGGCUGCUCCAAAGGAUUUGUCCCAAUUGUAUCAUCAAAUGGAAGAAGAAAUAAAUGUAUCUGGGAAAAUUCAAAGCAGAGAAGUUAAAAUAAGUGUCUACUUCAAGAUGAAAUAUUUCCACAGAAUUGUGAUUCUAUAUUUUGUCCAUACAUUAAUGCAAGGGGAGAACACAAAUUGUGGCCCAUGAGCUGCAUGUGACUCUUGCAGUUUCACACUAUUUUCUGAAAAGCCAUUCUUUAAACAAAAUCAGCCUGAUUUGGAGCAAUUUUGUCUCUAAGCCAGGUAGAAAAUCUUCCCAAAUCUGUGAAAACACAUGACAAUAUUCUCCAUUCUUACAACCACCUCGACCUCAAAAUGCACCCAUUUUCCUAGGCAGUCCCUCUCAAAGGGAUGUCAGGAAAUGAGUGGAAGUCAUGUCCUGUCACCAUUUUAAAAGAGAAUGAAAGAGAAAACAGAGGUAUUAUGCUUGCUGGUGGUUGUUCUACAGGGGAAAAUUGCCACCUGGUCUCCAUGCAAUUGUCUGCUCCUGCAUUAAUAGGUGUAAUGGUGCAUACAGAAGAAUUCAAAUGUCUUUCUAGAGAAUGCUUAAUGCUCCCCUAAUAUUAAUAGUACUUUUAUUGCAGAAUGGACAGUCAUUAUCCUUGCCCCUCUGCUUCACUCACUGAUAUCAACAUAUAAGAAGGACAUGUCAUAAGUCAGUGGCUCUCAGCUUGUGGAUCCCCAGAUGUUUUGGCCUUCAACUCCCAGAAAUCCUAACAGCUGGUAAACUGGCUGGGAUUUCUGGGAGUUGUAGGCCAAAACACCUGGGGACUCACAGGUUGAGAACCACUGCUAUAGAUGCUCACUUAGUAACAUGGUGUCUGAUUUGUGCAACAUUAAGACAGGAAAUGGUUUUGUACCAUUAUUUUGUUUAUUAUUUGAUUUCUGUGCUCAACAUUCAACUAGUGCAGAUUUAUUUUGAGAUUUUAACUCCUUCUCAUAUGUGCAAUUGUCUGUGGAGAAUAUAAGGCUUUAAUUACACCAAGUAAUUGGAUUUCUAUUCCAGUAUUUGGAUGCUUUUAUUGCAUGAUGGGUAACUUUCCCAUUUCUAUUAGUCUCAGUGGUGUCUUAAUUAAAAUGCAUAUUUCCAUUCAGUGUUUGUUUAAAAAAUUGUUUUCAAUUUUACCCCUUUUCUAAAAAGCCCGCCAGCAAUUAAUGAUAGAUUCAAAUGAAAAGAUAGCUCAUUAAGAAGGAAUUGCUGUGGCAAAGUUGUUGGAAAACCACGUACAGGCUGUCGCAGCCUAAUUCUCCCCUUCAAUCAUCCUAUGCCAUAAAGUGAUCUAUGUCAUAAAGCACAAUUUAAGAUGGACUUGAGCAAUGAGAAUUGCAGUGUAAAUGCUAACAGCAUGAAAAUCAUCAGUUCAACAUAAGUUCUGUUGAGCUCCUCCUCAAUGAAUGAUGGAAACAUUUAGCCCUCUUUCCCUGUGUAAGUAUAUCCCACACAUUUUCCUUUCAUCCAAAUUAACAGCCAUCUUGAGGGUAGAACUAUGUCAAUAGUAUAUAAAGUAACUUGAUCUUCUUUUAAAAAAUAGAAUUGCCUAGACACUGUCACACAUAACCCCUGAGAGAAAUUUUGCUAGGCAGAACAAGAAAUUUUGGGUCCUCGAAGGUGGCGGGGGGGGGGGGGGUGAAAGAGUGGCUGCUCUCCUUUUUCCCUACUGCCAUCAAAAAUUCAUAGACCUCACUGUGGCUCUUUGGGCCCUAGACCAAAGUACUGGUUGAAACCAGAAUGGGAAUGAAGAGUUUACAUAUGAACAUAUGCAUGAAUUUUCAUGUGCUAGUACCCUUUUUAUUUUGAGAAUGUAGUACACAAUGAUAUCUUCAGUUAAGAGUUUGAUUCAUUCCAUGACUGUGCUCUUGACUCAGAUCAUUCUUAUCUGAAGGCAGAUUUUCCCACUGAAAUGCUGUUAAUUCAUUCUGGGGCCCCAACCACUCCUCCCAAUUUAUUUUGUUACGUGUUUUUAAAUAAGAAAAUGUACUUUAUAAAUAACAAAUAUUGUAUAAAUGGACAUUCACAUGGAACAAUAAAAAAGAAAGAUCAACUUUUAAAUAGUAGAAGGAAAAUGUGGCAUUGAAACACAUUUGAGGCAACAAAAUGUGUGUUGGCUAGUGUAGCAGUAAGGCAAAACCUACACAUUCACAUGGAAAAAUUAAAAAAGAAAAAUCAACCUUAAAAUGGUAGAAGUACAAAGUCGUGGCAAGAAAACACAAAGUAAAGAGGCAGAAGCAUUAUUUUCAUUUUCCAUACUAAUUUCCCUCCCUCCCUCUCUUGCUCCUCUGUCUUUCUCCCUCCCUCCCUCCCUCCCUCCCUCUCUUUUCAUGGAGCCAAACAUACAAGGAAUUUUUGUUCAUGCCAGGAAUGACUUGAGAAACUGCAAGUUGCUUCUGGUGUGAGAGAAUUGCCUGUCUGCAAGGACAUUGUCCAGGGGACGCCCAGAUGUUUGAUGUUUUACCAUCCUGUGGGAGGCUUCUUUCAUGUCCCCGCUGACAGACUAGAACUCACCCCGCUCCAUGGAUUCUAAUUGCUGACCUUUCAGUCAGCAGUCCUGCUGGCAAAAGGGUUUAACCCAUUGUGUCACUGGAGGCUCCAUACCAGGAAUAAAAGCCACACAAAGUCAACUAACCGAAGGUUCCUCAAAGUUGAAUGUUAGAGGAUGUAGAGAUUUCCCCAGUUUAAAAUGUUUCAAAAGAAUAUAGACUAUGUAACUUGAAAACCAGUGUAAGUCUUUUUCAGCAGAGAAUUGUGUUGGUCAUUUCAAAGCCUCCACAUCAUCUCUUCUGUUCUUACCAUUGUCAUGAUCUGACUGUAAUGCCACAUAGAAAUGGCAUAUUACCUACAUUAUAUUUUUCAAACUUUCACAAUUUAAUAUUACUCUCUUUUCAACUAAGAAGAAAGAAAGCUGGAAUCAUUAAUUUUAUCCAAGUCACAAACUUUCCCACAGUGACUAAAGUUCCACAGGUAAAACAUAUUUCCUAAGGUUAGAAGGCAGACCUCAUAGGCAUUCAACUCCGGGUGUUCCCAUGCUGGGUAUCUUCACAAGAACAAAACCUAAAAAUGGUCCCCUGUUUUCCAAAUCCUAGCUCAAUAAUGAGGUUUCAUCUAGAUCCAACUUCAAUUAUGGUUGCCUUGGAAGAAAAAAAAUCAGAACUUACUUAAAAGGCAGGGUUUACCCUCUAAGUUUUGUUUGUGUUUCAUCUGAUUUGAGUAACCUCCCUUUAUUAAUAGUGUACAUUUCAUUGCACUGUCUUCUUUAUUACUAACUCUUCCUCAUGGUUCCGCAUGUAUUGAUUUAAUGUUUUUUCUCUGACUGUUAAGUGUUUCAUGUUGAAUUUAUGACAUAAUUUGCAUCAUGUUUUAAUUCCGCUUGUAAACAUGCAUGUGCACACCUUGCUCUUUUGCAGCAUGCUUUGUUUUGUCAUCUUGUUCUUGCCUGAUUUAAUUUCAGUCCGAUUUUGCUUCUUUGCUUCCGUUAUAUCUUUAGACACAUAGUCUUGUCACAGUUCUUCCUGACUGUCAGCAUUUUGUCCUUAGGUUUGAAAGAGCUUCAUUUACACACUGCCAUUUGCCUCCUCUCUUUCUAUCACCUUCAUUUGCAAACGGCUGACAUCUAUUUGCUAACGUGCAUCUAGAGUCUUGUUGUUUUGACAGCUGCUUUAGUGCAGUAAUAUUAUGCCAGCAAUUCUCAUUUCAUUCUCAAUGAGGAUGGGAAUGUCAAUUAGCCUAUCACUAGUAUGUAGACUGUUCAGGCAUCAUUCCUGUUGUAGUGUUGUAGGAUUUCUGCAUGUGGAAUAUAAAGUAAUAAUUUGAUUUUCCAUUUGUAAUGUUACUACCCUAAACAUUUGAACAAUCAAAUAAGAAUCAAAUUAUUGAUAUUGAAAACAAACAGUAAAAACACUAUCUUUUAACUGUGAUAACUCUCCAAUCCAAAUAAUGUCACAGUAGCAACAUCGAAAUAGAUUUGCUGGACUGGGUGUAAGGCUUAUCUAAUCCAACAUGUUCCUCGCCAAGUCAGCCAGCCAGGCAGAUGCCUCUGGUAAAGCCACAAACAUGACAUGACAGCAAUGGCUCAUCCUUAAUGUAGUUUCAAAAUAACUGGUGUUCAACAAUAUAAUGCUUUGAUCUUGGAAAUAGAAUGUAGCCAUCUUAAUUAGCAGUUAUGAACUUGGAUGGCCAGCCAGCCUCUCAAUAAUAAUAAUAAUAAUAAUAAUAAUAAUAAUAAUAAUAAUAAUAUAACAACAACAACAACAACAACAUACAAUCCUAAGGUUAGCAGAUACCCCUAAGGAUCAUCCAGUUCAACUUCCUUAUAUCAUGCAGGAGGACACAAUCCAAGCACUUCUGACAGAUGGCCACCCAGCCUCUACAUGAUGAUGAUGAUGAUGAUGAUGAUAAUAGAAGCAUAGAAUCCAAGAGUUUGGAGAGACCCCUAAGGGCCAUCCAGCCUAACCCUUUCUACUAUGCAGCAGGACACAAUCCAAGCAUUCACAACACAUGGACAGUGUAUAAAUACUAUAAAAUACUACAUAGGGACAUAGACCCCCUCACCACUUUCACAGUACACAAACAACCAAAUGCAUACUAAACGUAAAGACAACCAUACAACAGACAUUCAAUACCACCACUACCUCAACAAUUUCUCACCAACACCACCAGACAACGCCACAGCAACGCGUGGCCGGGCACAGCUAGUGAAAUAUAAAAUAUCACUAGUAUUUUAUAUUAAAAAUAUGUUGUGAACAAUGAAUCACAAAGUUUAGCAGUCUAUUUAAGGUAAUAAAACUGUAGAUAUUACAUCCUGAGAUAUACUCAAAGCGGCUGUGCAUGUAAAUAUAGGAUUAAAUAUAGAAAUGUAAAUAUAGAAAUAUAGAAGUUAAUAGUGGUAUUAAAUUAAAACAAGAAAACCCUUAGGGCAUAUUGUAAGUGAUAGCCAUUCAAAAAUGAAAGAUUUAAAGUGUGUGGAUAACUCCUGUAUACAUGUUUGAGAACUACUUCCUUCAAUGUUCAACUGAAUAAGGAAGAACAUGAAGGCUAUUAGAGUUUGGGCAAGGAAGGCAUUGAACUGCCCUUAGUGUCCCUAUGUCUGCGACCUCCGUCUCCUCCAUUCCCCACAUUUGUGCUGAAUGCAUGAAAGUUGGGAGUAGAGAGAAAAGGUCUCUUGUGGGGACAUUGGACAGAACUGGUCCAAAUCUCCCCUCAACUCCCUAUAUACUUGAACUUUUUACAAGUUCAAGAGUAAUUUCUACAAAUUAGUAGAAAUGAUGGGCGUUAGCAUUUGAUCGACCCUGCUUGGCAUUUCAAGGUAGCCACUGUGAGAACAGAUUUAUUAAUUUUCUCUAUGUCAUCCACAUAUUCUUUGGAGAACCAUUUUGUGAUCAUAAAUAUACAAAUUUGGUUCAUUAUGCCUUUUGUUUACUGCUGUUGUACUGCCUGGCCUGCUUCGUGUAACUGUCUGCGUAAUUUCUCUCUGGCUGUCAGCUUCCAAUAUCCAGUCUAUCUACCUCUUGAGUUAUUCUUUUGUAAUUUAAACAGGAAUUAGAAUAAAAAUUAAAAGUGUUCAUUGCCAAUUAUUUGGGGAUCAUUAAGGGUGUCAUGUCAUUUCCCUCCUCUAGUAAACACUUCACAAUGAAACUAUUUUUAAUUAAAAGUAUGUGAUUUCUGCCUUUGACCUUUUCAAAAAAAAGUUGUCAAAAGAAUUACUGCAUGUCUCCAUCCAAGGAUGUGUAUUUAUUUUUCAUGCAAUGACAAAUAGCAUUUGGCCAGAAACAGAAUGCCAUGUAACCCAUCAGCAUAAUAACAUUUGGAUAACACUAUAUAACAAAAUUUGAAGAAAAAAAAUCUGUUCCUGCUUGAGAAGUGUUAGUUCCUGUUUAAUUGUGCAGUACUUACUUUGAAAGUAGUUGUUAUACUCCAGAAACUUCAUUUUUGUGGUUGCCACAAACCAUGUUGAAUUAAUUGAGAGAGUACCUACCUCAUCACAUUGAAAGGAGACAGCAUGGGUGAUGUGACGCACCUUUAAGAGUAGAGAAUUGCCUCAUAUAUCAUUACCAGUCCCAUUUCACGUUCUGCCUUUCCAUCACACGCACACUCACACAUGGAAACUUAAGAGCUGGCAAUACAUUCACCUUACAGUCAUCACAAGGUCAAUAUUACUUUUUUGGUUCAGGAGAAACAACAAUAUCCAAAAAGAGAGAUCCCUUACCCUGCCCAAAGCCCCUUAAAUUAAAGAAGGGUGGCACUAGUUUAAAACCACUUCUUUCCAUGCUAUCCUAUUGUUCUGCCCCAAACCCAUAGGAUACAAGAGACAGUGAUCCAGGUUAAAAUUAUUUCUUUCAAUGGGAUCCUAUGGUUUUGCAUCAAAGCCCAUAGGAUACAAGAGACGGUGAUCCAGGUUAAAACUAUUUCUUUCAAUAAGAUCCUAUGGUUGUGCAUCAAAGCCCAUAGGAUACAAGAGAUUGCUGACAGCUGGCCAAUGAAACAUGACAGGAAAAUUUUGAUGGUUUUCAUCACACCUGUUUUUCAGUUGUGAACACGGCAGUAAAGUGCAAUAAGAGGUAGGAGCUCUGAACACAAUUGCUGACCCAUGUUCAGAGUCCCCUCCUUUCAGGACAUUUCUGCCUCUUUUCACCCUGGGGGGGCGGAUUUCUCAAUGUAAUUAAGUUGAUUGCUGGAGUUCUCUCCUUUCAGGACACUUCUGCCUUUUUUCAACCACGGAUGAGCUCAAUGCCUCUCCAUGCUUAAAAAGAGGUUGAAGUGUUCUAUGACUGGGAAAUUUCUCAAUCUAAUAAAGUGGCAUGACAUAGUCACUGAAAAACAAUAGCAAAAUGUCCUGCAGGAUGUCCCUCAGUUUAAUAAUUUUUCCCAUGUUUUUAUGAUAGAACCAAUUAAGAAGUGACAUUUAUAACCCAGGAACAAAAAUCAGGUUACAUAGUGUAAUCAGAUAUUCAAAUAUUCAGGGUUUUUUAUUGCUAUUCCACAUAUGUCUCUGUCAAAAAUAGAAGCCAUGACAUAAUUUUUUCUAUAAUCUGACUCUUAUAUGAAUUACAGGAUGCAAGAAUAGGACAGUGUUCUUUUAGAAACCUGUGGGAUACAUUUUCCUUCAUAAUAAUGUUCAGCUGAGCAAAAACAUAUUGUGAAAAAAGUUUAUAAACGUAGAGAUAAUUAUGGAAAUUCCAUAAUUUUACCAUGAUAGACUCCAUCUUAAAAGCUCAAAUGCAAAAGUGAACUUGAACAAUGUUAAGAACAAAGGAAAUAUCUAGAUCAACGAAAGUCCACGAAGAAAGUGAGCAAAAGGAAUGUGUGUUUUCCCGAAAUAAUACCUGGUAAUUCAAAUACACACAUACACACCACUUCAGGAUGAUAAACAUAAAAAUAUAUGAGCAACUCUUGUUCAGAAGUUUGGAACAAUGGCAUGAUCAGUAAAGAAAAACUAACAAUAAUCCAAACAGCAGUGACAAGGAGAGAGCCCCAUGACUCUUGCAAUAUGUUGUAGACAGACAAAAGAUCUGUGUAGCCUUUGAGGAAUUGAUUCAGCCUUAACCUUUCCCCUCUGUAAGAACUUUGUGAACAGAUAGUGGAUAAAUAGAAAAUGUCUCAGAAGAGAGACAAUACAACCCACUGCAGGUAUGAAAUAAAUGAGAGGCCCUAAACCCACAAAGUGCUUGAGUUGACUCGUGGUAAAAAGCUGACCCUUAGCUCCUUUCAACUUUACACUUUCUUCUGUCCCUGAGGUUAGGCUUUCUUCGUUCUUCAAACAUCCAGAUUUAUUUCCCCACUCAGAUUGAGGAGACUUAUGGUAGGACCAGAUCUUCUUCUUUACUUUCAGAAGCCUCAUGCCAAGUAUUGAAGAUUGCUUUAUAAACAUGGUAUGAAAAGAGCAGCGCUAAAGUUGUAGUGCAGUUCCCACCUGUUGAUCAUGCAGAAUUAUCAAACAUAUUAAUGGAAUUGAUCUCAUUUGUUUUCAAGCAUAUAUCAAAAUAUUGUAGGCAACACAUUCAUUAAUCAUGGUGUUGAAGUCUGCCCUAUGGCUUCCAAAAAGAGAACCUUUCAGUUUUCCAGCUCCUGCCCUGUAGAUCUCUUCCUAUUAAUUUAAGGAGGUGCAAGCAAUUUUGACUUCUAGGCAUUUGUCACCCCUAUCUCCUCAAUCAUCUUCCCUAAUGUGUGAAAAAGCUACAUUGGUUUUAUUGGCCAUGUGGCUGUUAUAUCUUGUCAUGUGGCUAUUUUUUUUAUCUCCCCACCCCCUAUGAGUAAGGCACCUAGGAGAAAGGCAAGAUAUAAAAAUAAAUACAGACAUUUUAAAAGGUGCACAGUUGAACUUUCGUUGCAUAACCCAAUACCUACAAGGACAGUAGGCUCAUGAUGUUAUUUAUUCAUUCAGUUGCUUCCGACUCUCAUGACCUCAUGGACCAGCCCACGCCAGAGCUCCCUCUUGGCUGUCACGACCCCCAGCUCCUUCAAGGUCAAGCCAGUCACUUCAAGGAUGCCAUCCAUCCAUCUUGUCCCUGGUCGACCCCUCUUCCUUUUUCCUUCCAUUUUCUUCCAUUUUCUUUCAUGAUCUUCUCCAAACUUUCCUGUCUUCUCAUUAUGUGGCCAAAGUACUUCAUCUUUGCCUUUAAUAUCCUUCCCUCCAGUGAGCAGUCAGGCAUUAUUUUCUGGAGUAUGGACUGGUUAGAUCUUCUUCCAGUUCAAGACACUCUCAGAAUUUUCCUCCAACACCACAGUUCAAAAGUAUCUAUCUUCCUUUGCUCAGGCUUAUGAUCCAGCUCUCGCAUCCGUAGGUUACUACAGGGAAUACCAUUGCUUUAACUAUGUGGACCCUCGUUGCCAGUUUGAUGUCUCUACUCUUCACUAUUUUAUCGAGGUUGGCCACUGCUCUCCUCCCAAGAAGUAAACGUCUUCUGAUUUCCUGGCUGCAGUCUGCAUCUGUAGUAAUCUUUGCACCUAAAAAUGCAAAGUCUGUCACUACCUCCAUGUUUUCUCCCUCUAUUUGCCAGUUCUCAAUCAGUCUGGUUGCUAUAAUCUUGGUUUUUUAUGUUUAACUGCAAUCCAGCUUUUGCACUUUCAUCUUUCACCUUGGUUAGAAGGCUCUUCAGCUCCUCCUCACUUUCAGUCAUCAAAGUAGUAUCAUCUGCAUAUCUGAAAUUGUCAAUGUUUCUUCCAGCAAUUUUAACUUCAACCGUGGAUUCAUCAAGCCCCACAUGUCGCAUAAUGUUUUCUGCAUAUAAGGUAGGGUGAGAGUAUACAGCCCUGCCGUACUCCUUUCGCAAGCUUGAACCAGUCUGUUGUUCUGUGGUCUGUUUUUACCAUUGCUACUUGGUUGUUAUACAGGUUCCUCAGGAGACAGACAAGGUGACUUGGUAUCCCCAUACCACCAAGAACUUGCCACAAUUUAUUAUGAUCCACACAGUCAAAGGCUUUAGAAUAGUCAAUAAAACAGUAAUUGAUGUUUUUCUGAAACUCCCUACCUUUCUCCAUUAUCCAGCAGAUAUUGUCAAUUUGGUCUCUCAUUCCUCUGCCUUUUCUAAACCCAGCUUUUAUAUCUGGCAGCUCAUACCUACCAAUGAUACCCUCAUUUUCUGUGUGUCUUCUGGGUCUGUCAUAUGUUCAACAGGGCAUCUAAAAUAGAAAACAAAUGCAUGGUUGAAUGUAAACCUUCUGUCUCAGUAGAAAUUCAUCUACCUGCAUUCCAGUUUACGUGGUGAGUCUAUGAUCAGCUAUCUUGGGGCGUGAACAUUUGGGCAGUCCUGAUUCUUGGUUUUAUAGGUGGAAGACGCAUGCAUCUGUGGUUCUUAGGGGUUCCAGUGAUGUUCCUUUGCACAUUCAGAAAGGAAUUGUAAGUGAAAUAUGGAUAUAAGGGAGUAACUAAAAUAUGAAGUCAGUGUUGUUUGAGUGUGCAUACUAUAUCUGAAAAGAAAGUGUUUCUACUUCUUUAACAUCUUAGCUGUUGGUUGUUGUACAAUAUGGAAAUGCUUCCAGGAGGGCUAGAACCUACUAACAGUUGCCCAAUUGUGCCAGCUUUGUUAUUAGUGUAUUUUACUGCAGGAAUAUGAAUCUCCCUGUGGUUUGUUGAAGAUGUAAUUUGAAUUAUUGUAUAAACAACUAGUAAUAAGCUGAAACAGUUGUUUCCCCACACAGCAGUACAUUUCUCCGUCAACUGGUGCUGAGUGAGCUUGUGGGUGGGCUUUGUCAUUUCCUGCUUCUCAAAUCAGUUUGCUAAUCAUCAUCACUUAUGUUGGACAGGCUGUACUCUGAGCAUGGUUGCAGAUGCUUGUGUUGGAUGAUGCUGAUCUGAUUAUGCAUGUAUGAUGAACGCGUAUAUGUUAUGCAACAAGAUCCUCAUUAAUUCUGAGAAAUGCAAAUAAGGAUCAUAUGCCAAAGUAUUGGUGUGUGUGUUUUUUAACUCUUGUAAUGUGUUCUGGAAGAACUUCCUAAAAUGAAUUUGACAAAUGAUUGUGAUCAAUAUGUAAGAUUUGAAUAAAGGGAGAUUUUUGAAUUCCAUCUUAACACAAACUGAAAUGAGAGCCAACCAAAAUUUACUCCUGCAAUAUGUCACUUCUCAAGGCAGCAUGUAUUUCAGAUUUCUAGCAGAAAGGAUUUUCAGAAUUGUUAGCCUCAACAAAAAAAAGAAAAAAAAGAAAGAAAAAAAGAAAAAAGGAAGCAUUGAAAAUUCUGCUCAGUAUGCCAGUUCUACCCAACAUGUGCUGUUAAGGUAUUGUAGAACAGUGAAAAAUACUCUGUUCAAGCCAAAGUGACUGCAUAUGUGCCAUUUCAACAGGAGGGGUGGGAGCAUGGACUGCCAGUCUCUGUGAGCUGAACUGGUAUAGGCAGCAGUAAGGAAUGCUGGAAGUUGCAUUCAUAUAAAUAAUAUUUCUGGCUCUAAGAUAGCUUUCUAUGGUUUCUGCAUAGACCAGAUCAAAGUAGUAGACUGUUAUCUCCCACCCUGGAGUAUAAGUUGGGUAUAGGGACAGUUCCUAUGUACUGCUACUGGGUAAUUCAAAAAUAUAACUAACUGGGUAGUGUCUCCCUCCAGAGCCUUGUUGAAAAAUUACAGAUCCUUCUUUGUGGCCUCCAAGAAUUCUAAAUCUCUCCCUUCAAAAAGUCAUCCUUUAUCAGAUGAAGGAAUGAUUGUGUCCCCUUCCAUUUCUCAGGAAGUUAAUUUUCUUUAAUGAAGCAAAAUCCUUCCAAGAUUUAAGAGUGAAGGUGAGCUGUUAUUUUUUUUAAUGAAUCCUGGGUAUGUUUGGACCAUACUACUACUGCAAAGUCAGCUGUCCCAGCUAUGGCAUUUAGAGAGUGUGAAUGCUGAUUUUCUCACAUAUCUUACAAGAUAGUUUUAUGUCAAAUGACAAUAUAUAUGGAUUUAUCAGUAUAAAGAAUUAUUGAAAACUAAAUCAGAUUUCUGGAAGGAUAAAUAACCAACAGAAAGCCCCUGUAAAAUACUGAUAUACAUAGUAACAUUAAUCAUUUGCUUUUAUGUUGAUGGUAGUUUACCAGUGAUAUAUUUUAAAAAGAGGAAUAAAUUUGCAAUCAGGUAUUGUUCAUCUCCUGGGAACUUUGAAGCAAAAUUAAUGAUAAAAAAUGCCAUCGAAAUUGCUGAUGUGGUCACUAAGGAUCGAUUGAUGUAACAUUAUUUAAAGGUAAUUACAUUGUGGAGCCUCCAGUGGCUCAGUGUGUUAAAGUGCUGAGCGGCUGAACGUGAAGACCAAAAGGUCCCAGGUUCAAAUCCGGGGAGCGAAGUGAGCGCCCGCUGUUAGCUCCAGCUUCUGCCAACCUAGCAGUUCGAAAACAUGCCAAUGUGAGUAGAUCAAUAGGGACCGCUCCGGCGGGAAGGUAACGGUGUUCCAUGCAGUCAUGACCUUGGAGGUGUCUACGGACAACGCCGGCUCUUCGGCUUAGAAAUGGAGAUGAGCACCAACCCCCAGAGUCAGACAUGACUGGACUUAACGUCAGGGGAAACCCUUUACCUUUACCUACAUUGUAGAAUGACUGCAGUGUGAUCUCCCUUUUUUUCCAACUGCUUCUUGAAUUUACACAACAGUGUUGUCUUUUCCAGUUAUUCACGUUGGCUCAUAAUAUUUCGAAAGCAUGACAGUCUCUGUUUACUAGUCAUCUUCACUUCUAACCAGAGUACAUGAUUGACCCAUUCAUCAUUUUUUCAAAACAUAGAUUUCAAAUACAUUCUAAAACAUUACUUUUCAUUGAUUGUUAUUUUUAAUUUUUUAUUUAAGCCUUUAAUUUUAUUAUUUACAAUUGAUUUCAUCUGGUGCAUAACAUAAAAUCAAAUCUUUAUUUUUGGUCAGCAACCAGUAUAGAAUCCCAGUAUGAAUGAAUCAUCCAUUCACAUUAGUGCAGUGUUUACAUUAGAUUAGGAUAUGAAUUAAAAUUUACCACCAUUAUAAAAGAUACUUAUAAGACCCUACUCUGACUAUAAGGUUUGAAAAGAUAACCUAGACUUUAAAACUAUAUCAUGUUAAAAACAUCUCAUCCUGUACUAUCUGACUUCUGGAUGUCACAGUUUGAGAACCGCUGCUCUAGGGAAUCUAUUUCAACAAGUGGGCAAGGGAAAACCUCUUUUCAAGGAAGCAGCCAGGCUUUGAAUCUGCAAGGCCAUUAAAUGCUAAGCAAGCUGGCCAAUUGCAACAUUCACACUAGCCUCAAACAGACAAGAGCUCCCAUCCUGCACUUUCCACAGAUAUAUAAACCCCAGUUACCUAGCAUCCAACAGACCUCACAACCUCUGAGGAUGCCUGCCAAUGUGUGGGCCUGGCCUUGGAGGUGGGCCUGUCCCCGGAGGCAGCGUGGCUUUGGGCCAGGCCCCAAAGGCAGCCACAGGCUGAAGGCGGGCCCACGCGUGAAGGCGGGCCCACAGCUGAAGGCCCGAAGGCGGGCCCAGGCCAGUGCGACCCUGGAAGUAGGAGGCGAGGGUGUGCGCGCACGCAUGCACGCUAGUGCGCACCUCAACUGCGCCCCCUAGAGGAAUGGCACCACAGGAAACUACCUAAUUUGCCUCACGGUUGAACUGCCCCUGACUCUAUCCCUUGGUUUUUGGCCUUUAUCUCCUAUCUCUCUUUCUAUUUUUUUCCUCUUCUGUAUCUUUCAUAAAUCUUUGAUAAAAUUAAUUUGCUUUUUGUAUGAAUUUUAUAUAUGUUCUUUUUUAUACAUCAUUUAAAAAAGUGAAUGCCUUUUAAGAUCCAGCAAAAAGUUGCCCAAGAUGGAAUUAGUAGUAGUGAGGAACUACCAUUUUAGAUUACAUUAGCUGGUCAACAAUUGUAUAAUCUAUAAAUCCUUAAUAAAGCUUUGUUGAUAUUAUACAGUAUAAUAAUGUUAUUGUAGUUAUGGUGGUUAUUUAUUCUUUUCAUAACUAUCUCCCACUCUGUAAUCAGUUUUUUUAAAAAUAUUUUAUGGUGAUUUAUAAAAAUAAUAAAAUCUCAUUUCUAUUUUGGAUAGAAAAUACCUUUAUUAAAUAUAUCUCAGAGAGAGAGAGAGAGAGAGAGAGAGAGAGAGAGAGAGAGAGAGAGAGAGAGUUAGUUCUGCCAGUAGAUCCCUCUCUGAUACCAACAAGGUAUUAUAUCAGCCUAAAGGCAUUCCAGUAAAAAGAAGGACAAUCCAGUCUGUAAAAAAAGUUUCUGCCUAUUCUUAAGCCUCUUCUCACGGCACAUCUCAUGCUGAAAACAGCCAUGCAAUGAAUUUCUAGAAGCCACAAUCAGGAUAUCUCCAGCAAAGAAGACAUGAAUCCUAAUAAAUUUAACUAAAAACAAGACUCAGAAGUGAGGAAUACUUCUGAGAGUACCCUUCUCAGUCUGGGAAGAGCAUCAACAGUGAAUGUUUUUUUGUAUAAAUAUGAAUAAGCACAUAGCAUACAUAACAACGAUGAAGAAUCUUCUUUCCAUUUUUCCUUCUGAGCAAUUAAAUCCCCAUGGAUGUGUGAAACACCACGAGAGAUGCCCUCAGCAUUGUAUCUGUGUACAAAUAUGGAAGAGCUGCAGCACAGGUCUUUGAGCAUUGCUUUAAUUGGGAUUCAUCCAUUUAUGCAAAUUGGGCGCUAUUGCUUUUUGUUUUUCAGCCAGUGCUGGCAACUGUGUCUCUUCCUUGCUCUCAGAGAGCUGUUGCAAUUAUUUCAGAAGAGAAAACAAACCUUUCUUAGAAGCCUCAAUGAAAAUAAAUUUAUUCAUUUUAAUUACUGCUAAAAAUAAUACUGUAACUAUAAAACUAUGAAUAACAGAAGAAGGGAUAGAGUAGGGGUGGGAGAAUGGACAAAGGAUGCCUUAUUUGCUGCAGUUUCCACAAAAGAUACAAAUUGCUCUCUGAAACUUAAGAUAAACAGGGACAAAAUAUGUUGAAAGGGAGGAACUCAGAAGAUGUGGUAUAAAAAUAUAAUAUUGAAUAAUUUUGAGUUAAUUUUAAAUGAAAAUCCAUUACAGUUAGAUGGAAUUUGCCCUUGAGAGCUAGCAGUACUGAUGCUCCAGCAAUUAGCCUUGAUAAAUGGUGGAUAAUUGUGUAUUGAGAGGAUCACAACAUCAGAAAAGCAAUUAAUAUUCCUGUGAGCACUGAUUCACAUGUGAUUUUGUGGUGUUGGGGACCUUGAGUAGUCAAGUAGAAGAUGUGUAAGUUAAGUCUGGUUGCUAUAGUCUGGCUUCUCAACAUCCUUUUAUGUUGUAGGAGUGCUAUUUUUUAUUGUUUGGAUUGUUGCAGUGUACUGACGUCAGAGUGUGUUUUUGAGCCAUUAUAUCUGCUGCUGUUUCGUCAAUGUGUUUUCACAUAUCUAGACUACAGGAGGGACACAGAAGAGGACUUUUAAAGUUCCACUUUAGACAUGGCGUGCAACAGAAUAUCUGCAUGUAUUUUAUUUCCUUCAGUACAUGGAUACUCAAUAUUUGGUCGGCUACUAGGCAUGUGAAUUUACGAAGUCAAAAGUAUGUAGCUAAUUUUUUUGUGUUAACUGACAUUGCCCUUGAAAGCAAGGCUGAAUCAUGGCAAUUAGGAUCCCUGAAAAAUCUCCCAGAAAAGACCCCUCCCCAUGUGCAAAUGAACACAUUCCACUGUUAGCUUCCUGCUUUGACCAGUGCUACCAGCCCAAGAGGUAUCCUCAAUAGAAAUACUACUGACCCGAGGGAAGGGUAGAUACGGUCAUUCCCCUUGCCUGUUUUCCUGCUGGCGACUGGGUUGCCAGGAGUCGAAGGUGAAAAUAAGGGACACAAUAACAGUAACUCCAAAGUUGUGAUUGCAAAGAUGAAGACAGAGUAAAAUGAUACCAAAAUUUCAUUCAAAAUAGUGUUUUAGCUUCGAGGUCACAUACAUUUUGAUAAACAAUGAAAUUAAAAAAAACAGGCUAGACAGUUUUUAAUCAUUAAUUUAAAAUAAUUGUACUUUUCAUUACUGCUAAGCGCUUUCAACAGUUUCAUAUUACUUUUUACUUCAUUAUAAAAUUCUUUGCAUGAAACUGAAAUAAGCAGCUCAUGGCUUACUAAAUUAGACAGACACCUAUUUCUGACAUCAGUCCACUUCAAGUUCAUAUGUGAUAACGCACUUUCCAUAAAAGCAUUGGAACUAGUUGUGCUCAAACAAAAACUAACCAAAGGAAGAACAUUUGGUACUCCAUUCUGUACAUUUCUGAAACUGUAACCUAUUUGUAUUGUUGAAGGUUUUCAUGGCUGGAAUCACUGGGGUGUUGUGUGGUUUCCGGGCUGUAUCGCCAUGUUCUAGCAGCAUUUUCACAUGGCAUUUCAACUGCAUCUGUGGCUGGCAUAUCCAAAGGAUCUGCUGGUGGUAAAGCAAGUGGAGUACACAAUGGUUCUACUCCACUUGCUUUAAGUGAAAAUCUUUUUUCCUGCAGCAAUUAUUCUUUUAGAAUUAUUUUUAGCGGAUGCUUCUUGUUUAUGUUUUUUGUCGUUCGUCUUGCAUGUCCAAACACGUCCAAACAUGUCCAAACACCUCACUUGUUGAGAAGACACUGGGAAGUAAACAAUGGAAUGUGAGUACAGAUGAAGACCAGCGUCUAGAAUGAAGUGAAAUGAUCAAAAGGCAUGGAAUGGAAUCAGAACUGCAAACAUUCACAUAAUGCACCUGUGAAAGGACGGGUUUCUGCCCAUUUCUGCGGUGUAGCUUCUAUUUUGAAAUGUGGAAACAGUCAACGGCAGAAUUUAGUUUUGAAGUAUGUUACAGGACAAUUGACAUCUCAGGAAAGAAUGUUACUGGACGUGGGACAUUUUAGUCAAAUACGGGACUGUCCCUUAAAAUCCAGAAUGCCUGGCAAGCAGGCUGGACCAAGGCUAGAAUCUCAGAAACAGUUCCAUCCAACUUUGAAUUCUCUGCUGUGGGGAAGUAAAGACAGUGUGAGCAACAAAUACAAUAAACCCUCAAGAACUGCAGAGAAAGAGAGAUCUGCAAUCAUCCUUCCCAGGAGCUUUUCUCCCUUAACAGCAUAACUGUCCAAUAAACUUGUGUGCACAUAUCUUUGUCUGCCUCUUUGUCUAUCUGUACUUGUGCGGAUGGGUUCAAUGCCAGCAGCAGCAUAGGCCAACUACCUUCUGGAAAAGUUGGAGCAUUGCUCAUCUGCUCUACUGAUAUACCAACCUCACUUGAAAGAUAUUAAGAGUAUUGACCAAGAUUCAGUCUCAUUACUAAAAGCAUCUCUCUGUUUCUUCGUUUCGUUUUCAGGUAUUGUUGUUGGGGCUUAUCCUGCAAUGUACUUCAGCACAUUAGGAUUGCAAUUUUAUUCUAAGUGCCUGUUGAGAAAACCCAUGAAAGCUUUUCAGGCAUCUCUACAUUCCAGAUUAAACCAUCUAUUUGUUAUUAUUCUAUCGGGAUUGUGUUGUUUGCUAUCAGCCAGUUUCAGUCUAAGGUUUUGAGUAAUGCUUUGAAAAACAUGUAACACAUCUAGAGUCUGAAAUGUCUUGGAGAAGAUAUUCAUUCAGUUUCAUUAUGUCAACUAUUCAUACAACUUUGGUUAAUGCACUCUUGUUCUCUAUAUCUUUGAAAAUGGAGACUGAUUAAAGCAGUAUUCCCCAAACUCUAGUGUUCCACUUGUUUUGUACUUCAGCCCCCAGAAUCCCUGAUCAUUGACAAAGAAAACUGAGGCUUCUGAAGGCUGAAGUCCAAAACACCUUGAGGACUAAAGUUUGGGAAUCACUGGAUUACAUGAUGCAUUUCUCUGCAAUACCAGGUGUGAGUUAUAUGGAAAUGGACUAAAGAAAUGUCAUAGCUCUUUUCCCCUUAUGUAAUCAUGGAGGCAUAUCCUUCUAUAAUCUGUUUUUAUUUUUUUGUCCUGUCAGAAGCGACUUGAGAACAUACUGCAAGUCGCUUCUGGUGUGAGAGAAUUGCCUGUCUACAGAGAUCUUGCCCAGGGGAUGACCGGAUGUGUUAGCUGGGAGGCUUCUCUCAGGUCCUUGCAAGCUAGAGCUGACAGACGGGAACUCGCCCCUUCUCAUGGAUUCAAACCGUCAACCUUCAGGUCAGCAGUUCACCCAGCACAAGGAUUUAACUCAUUGCACCACCACGGCUCACUCUAUAAUCUGUGAUCAUGGGAAAGAAAGAUAGUCUUCAGCAAUUACUGCCACUGGAGCUAUUCCUGCAGAUGCUCUUGUAUGCACAGUGUAAGCAGCUUGCUUGUGUAUAGCAUUUAUAGUAUAGAAUUCAGAAUGAUUCUGCCAAGGUAUCUUGAAUAUCAUCUUUUUUUACAGCUAGAUAACAUUGAAGAUUAGGUUUUGAUCAUGUUUUUCAUCCAUUAACACUUUUUGUAGUUUUUGUAGUGAUAUCAGCAAGGAAUGCUUUAUUUUCUACUUUAUCUAACAUGAAUGUUGCAGAGAUGCAACAUUGUAGUUCAGACCCGAAAACAAUGCCAACUGUUGGUUGUUUCCUAUGAAUAUUUUCAAAAAACUCAUCCUGACUGUAUAUUUGUGCACGUUUGAACAGCCACUACAUCCAGCUAUCCAGCAUUAAUGCACUACUAUAUAUUCAUUAUAAUUUGGGCAGUCUUAAGAGAUUAAUUGCAUCAAUGGCUGAAGUACUGUAAAAUUAAACAUGUAGUUGACUGUUCUACUGUAGCAUUGUUCUGUUCUUCAUUGGCCUGUACCCUGAAGCUCUUUAUCUCCACAUUUGAAGAUGGACCUUGACCAACUGGAUCAUAGUCAGAGAAAGGCAACAGGGUAUGCACAGUAAAUUUAGUCUGAAGAAGAUUAACAGAAGACACGAUAGCAGUCUUCAAUGAUCUAAGGAUGUUCAGCAGAAACUAUUUCUUCAAGAGGGGAGAAAUAAAACUAGCAGAUAAAUUUCAGCUACACAUUAAAAGAAAGCUUAAACUGUAAGAACUGCUUGGCAGUGUUUGGGGAGGUGAUGGUAUAUCCUGCAGUGAUUGAGUGGCUAUCAGUCAGGGAUGUUACGGUUACUCCCUGCAUUGCAGGUCCUGUAUUGAGCAGUCUCUUCUAUGACUCCAAAGUAAAGCAAACAUUUGGUAAGGGGAUGUCUGUGCUUACAUAACCCUUGCUGGCAUCCAGUGCUGUUACUGUUGUUAUUGGCCUGUAUUGUUUUUAAAAAGCAAAACAAAACUGUAAAUUCUGUGAAAACAAAGUAAGUUUUGGUUCUGCUUUCUUUCUUCAUCAUACACAAUCUAACAGCCACUAUGUUCCUGACUGUAGUUUUACUGACAAAGGUAGAAAGCAAUUGGAAAGCAAAAAUAGUCUCCUGAUUGUCCAUUGUGUCAACAAAUUGGUGCAGAUCUGCUCAGUGACCUGGAUUACCAGCUGGUGAUCUGGCACUUUGCAUCAGAGUGCUUUUUAGCACAAAUACAUAAGAUGUUAGGAGAUGCAACCAAACACUCUGGAACACGUACCCCUCCAUUUUUCCUUUUGCCCCCUAAUCACCCCAGGUAAGAUCAACCUCUGUCUUAAGAGCAAGACUUUUUGGAUUUGAAUUGAAGCAGGAGAUAAAAUGAACUCUUAACCUGACAUUCAUGGGUGUUUUUUCCACACAUUCUUCAUAUUUGAUAUAUAGUUUUGAUGUAUCAUUCUCUUAAGUAUUCCUCUGUCUUCUCUUUGUUUGACUGCUGAGAACAAAAACCCAAAGGAUUUUCACCUGUCAAUCAUUCACAUAUUUGUAAGGCAGUGCAAACAGUGCUUGAGAUGAAGACUAUUUUAUGUGGGUAUGUAUGUGCAAACACAGAAUUAUGAAUUAAUUUCACAGGACUCUGUCUUUAUUGUGUUACACAGAAUAUUUCAUCUUUAAUAUAUGAGAUCUCUUUUUUAAAUACAGAGCUCAUGUGCAAAAUAAUACUCCAGUAGGUGCAACACACUCAGAAAUGAAUACAUUCUCAGGAAUAUGUAAAUGUGCCUACCUCUUCUAGCCUCUUGCUCUAAGUUUAUCAAUAUACAAACUAUACAGUUAUUGCAGUCUGAUUUGCAGUUUUAAUUCUUGUUAUAAAUUGCACCUGGAAAAUGGAGUAUUAGGGCUCUUCUUCAAAGGGAGACCACACACAGAGAGACUAUCCUCCAACAACAGGUGAGAUACAGAAUUUGUUUUCCAUGGUUGCAAGAGCUGCAUUCAUAAUAAUUGUCUCCUCCUGGUUUGGGAUAGGAUUCUCCUUUUCCUCUUUCCUUCCAGUCUGCUCCACGGAGCAGUGUCCUCCCACAACUGUCUGUGCUGAAUUUUCAGGGGGCUUGGCAGGAAUAUCAAGAAGAAAGAUGUUGCACAUUCCUAAAUCCAAGACAUUGGAAUGAAAGCUAUGCAGAAUUAGAUCAUGUGCCUUGUCCUUCAGUGUUUUCUUACAGAGGUCUACACAGUCCCAUUUCACCAGGUAGGAUGAACCUAAGUGUGUCAUCCAUAUUACCCAUUCUGAAUUAAGACCUGGAUGCCAAUUUCCUUACUUUUUCAUUAUAUUUUACUGACUAAACAUGCCAGGUAUUUGAAAUGAAACACCUAGAUAUGGAGUUAUCAAUAUUUUUUUUGAUUUCUGAAAAUUCACCAAAGUUUUUAUUUGGAAGAAAAUAAAAAAAAGUUUUUAUUUGGAAGAUAUUUGUGAAAAAAUAUCAAUCUAUAAUUUGUGUUUCACCAAGAAAUGAUAGCUUUAUUUUGCUCAUCUCCUCACAAACUAUCCCUUGUCUCUUUAGAAUCUGUUCUAGUUUUCUAUUUAAACCAGGGGAUAGUGUAAAACUAGACUCACCUAGGGAUGUCCAGCAAAUUUGGCCCCAUUUUAUUUAUGAAAUUACUAUAAAUCCAGGAUGAAGUUGUAUAAUACUUAGUGCUUCCCUGAGACCUCCAUUGCAUCUAGAGAACUCUAGGGCUGUGAAGUAUUAGGCAUUUAACAGAAUUUUCUCUCUGAAUUGAUUAGAAAUUGGAUUUAAUUGUAGUUACCUUUCCAUGUCUUUCUCCCAUGAGGCAGAGCCAAAUCUACCUUACAGUUCUAGCUGAACAUAAACCUGGCUUUAAUAAUUAUUUUGCACUUAUUCUUCUACAAAAGACAUUUGAAAAGUUCAGUUUUAUUCCUUGAAGAACAGUUUUAGUUGUUAUAUUGAUUGCCAGCAAUCAGGUGAUGGUUACAAUAUAAGAAUCUCAGCAUAACAUACUAUUGAGGGUUUUUAAAAACCAAAAAACCAAAAAAAACCCAAAAACAACAACCAAACAACACUGUUCCACUGUUAAAUUAAAUAUGAUUACAGUAUAUACUCAUAGAUUAGUCAAUAACAUGUAUAAAGUAAGCACUGAAUUUUGGGUCAAAAUUAGUCAUUUGCAAUGACAUGACUCAUGGAUAAGUCAAAAGCCAUUCUAUAGAGAGUCGAAAGAUACUUGGGGCCAGCUGCUGCUGUAUACUGCCAUCACUUCCCCACCCAGGCAUUCAAAAAGGCCAGUAGUAGAGCCAUGGCAGAGAGAUUUAAGAAAAUUGGUGGUUCUUUUAGGUUUUUCCAAGAUAAACUAAGCUCUGGCCUUUUUGCCCCUCUACUCAGAGAAGGAGGUGCUUCUUUUUUUAUUUUAAUAAAUGUUAGGUUUCAGUACACCUAUGCAUAUGGUAAGUCAACCAAGUUUUUUUUUUUUUGGACCAAAAUGUCUAGAUUUAUACAUAAGAGGUACAGUAGAGUCUCACUUAUCCAAGCUAAAUGGGCUGGCAGAACCUUGGAUAAGCAAAUAUCUUGGAUAAUAACGAGGGAUUAAGGAAAAGCCUAUUAAACAUCAAAUUAGGUUAUGAUUUUACAAAUUAAGCACCAAAACAUCAUGUUAUACAACAAAUUUGACAGAAAAAAGUAGUUCAAUACGCAGUAAUGUUAUGUUGUAAUUACUGUAUUUACGAAUUUAGCACCAAAAUAUCAUGAUAUAUUGAAAACAUUGACUACAAAAAUGCCUUGGAUAAUCCAGAACCUUGGAUAAGCGAGUCUUGGAUAAGUGAGACUCUACUGUACUUUGAACUGUGAGUAGCCCAAAUAAAGUGGCGAAAGGACAACACUUAGUCCUGGGAGAACCUAAAAGAAACACCAGCCUCCUAUGUACAUUGUAUCACAUUAAUCUUUGAACAGUUUUGAAAGCUGAACCAUACAAAUCAGGGGUCCCUGAAUUUGAGUUUGAACAAAAAAAAAAGAUUAACUUGGCAUGCAUGGAAAACAGAAGUGAACUGUAUAGAAGCAACCAAUUCUCUCAGAAAUUUUAUUUUUCUGAUUCUUUUUACCAUAAUAAAGAUGAGAAACAUAUUGGUUUAUUAAUGAUGAAAGUUUGUACAAUUGCUCUUGAGGAUGAUGAUUUCCUAGUUCCUUCAGCAAGGAUAAACAUGAUCUGCCUCAGGAAGAGAUGUUUUCCCUUACAUCUUUCUUUAUUUUCAACUAAGGUUCUAGCAACCUGCUGUCCAACUUUCUUCUUGUGCCUUAGGAGAAAGGUUUUACUGUAAAGAAAGUCACAGAGUUCAGAUGAGAAAUAAUGAAGGUGGCUGACAGUGAUGAGAAGAGAGAAGAAAGCCCAAGUUUUGGAUGGUACAUUUCUAGUUCUUCAGUUCUACGGUAACCUUGCCCUGUGUUUUUCAAUGCAUUUUGGUUUUGUUUUUGUUUUUUGUAUUCUUUAUCAAAUUACCACUUCUAGGAUCUUGAUCUCAAAGAAGUUGUAGCAAACAAGUCAGGCUGUUUCUUCUUCUAUAGCAUUUAACUGCUUUCUGCCAAGCAACAAACUUCAUUUUCUUCACAAUUACUGUAUAUAUUUGAGUUUAAGCCAACCCGAAUAUAAGCUGAGGCACCUAAUUUUACUACAAAAAAACAGGAAAACUUACUGGCUUGAAUAAGUGGGAAAUGCAGCAGCUACUGGUAAAUUUCAAAAAUAAAAAUAAAAAUAGAUACCAUUAAAAUUACAUUAAUUGGGGCAUCAGUAAGUUAAACAUUUUGAAUAUUUACAUAAAACUGUAAUUUAAGAUAAUAAUAAUAAGACUUUAAUAAGAUAAGACUGACCCAUUCUGAUUACUUAUAUACUCAAGUAUAAGCUGACCCAAAUAUAAGCUGGCCAGGACCCUCAUUCGAUUGGCUUAUACUUGGGUUGAAAAAGGGCUGAAAGAUUUGGCUUAUACUUGGGUAUGUAUGGCACUUUAUAUAUUUUUGUUUGAAUGAUGCAUUCAUAAGUGGUUUUGGAGAAACCAGAUACACCACUAUGCAUGCAGUGGAACCAGAUGGCUCCCAAGUUGGGCGGUGAUGUGGGUCUAGGUUUGAGUCUGAAAUUUAAAGGCCUUGUCUGCAUUGAAGGGCACCUAGCUUUCAUCUUUACAAAAGUAUCUGUAUUGUAUUGUAUGGCACACGAACUUUCUAAAAUAUUGAAUGUUAUAAAUAACAGGUGAUUGAUAAAUCCAUAGGAUUCAGAAUCUCUAAGUGACUAGAUAGGUAUACAGAGGAUCUUCUACAGCAGGUAAUGUUAUUUGCUCUUGCUUUCUGUGUGAAUAGAAAAAGGAGGCUGUUUGUCAAUUCACAAAUGAUGCAUUGUAGAACCAUGCAAGCAGAUCACCAACUGAGUGUGGUGGAUAGCGUGGUACAAAUGGCUUAUUUCUCACCAUGGUGCCAGCUCAAAAUGCUGGCCCCAUUUUACUUGCUAAUGUUAAGACACUACUCAUAUUUUCUUCUGUCUUCCAAAAGAACCAAUAACCACUUGAUGCCAUUCUAAUAAAAGCCAAACCAAUCUAAUUAUCAUACUGUUGACAUGUAUCCAGCAAUAACUCAUAUCUUAAUAGUGGAAAAACCUGCCAACUGUAUCCCACAAUCAGCACAUUUUAUGCAGCCAGAUAAACUUAUGUUGUGCCCUAAUGUUUCAAUGAUGGAUGGGCUCUGUUCCGGGCAGUAAUUCUACUGAUAUUCUUAUUUGCCUCUUGCUUAAGGAGUUUAUAUUUGCUAUGAAGUUAGUAAAUAGAUGUUAAAAUGAAGAUGUUUCAAUAGCAAUUUAAAAUCAUUGUAAAGAGAAAUAAGGAACAUUUGGGAUAUUUCCAGCUACAAAUAAGAACAUUUGUUUUGCCAUCAGUGAAGACAGGAGUUUAGGAAAGAAAAAUGUUUGUACAGAUUGAGCACCCCUUAUCCUAAAGUGUUUUGGAUUUCAGAUUUGUAAAGGUUUUGGACUACCUGCUUUAUAGGCAUGUGUGAUCCAUGAAAAAAAUGGUUCAAUACUUGCUUCAAAAGUAGGCGCUGGUGCUUUGUUUCUAAAGUCAUUUCCUAAUUUUGAAGCAAAAAAUUCAAAACUUUCUGAAAAUUUAGAAUAUUUGUAUGUACCUCGUUAAUGGCGGAUGCGCAUGCACAUGAAGGAAAACAUUACCGUCAAUGGGGAAAAUUGAGGGGCUUCUUUCUCACUCAUUUUUUAGCUAUCCUAAUGAAAUUUGCUACAGUGGUAGAACACAUUUACUACUGUUAUCUCACCAAAUCUAAGAACGUUUGACUUAUCCUCAGAUUUUUGGCGAAUUUUCAAAGUUUUUAUAAAAAACAUUUUUAAUAAUAAAAAUUUGUUCCUGGUUUGAAAGUGUUUUUUUUUCCCCCUGUUUCAUUGGGUUGUCUUUACUUUGAAAGUCGUUGUUCUACUUCAGAAAUUUUGUUUUUGUGACUGAAACUUUGUUAAAUUGGUGGAGAGAGACUCAACAAACCAUAAUGUGCUAUUUUUAUAGGAUGAUGUCUUUUGUGCAAAGACAAAGUUUUGGCAGUGUAAUCAAAUUUUGCCAUGUUUUUAUGACAGAUGCAAUUAGGAAAUGACAUUCAUUAACCAGGAACAGAAAUCAUAGCACACCAUCAAAUCACUCCUGACAGAUGGCCAUCAGCCUCUGAAUAAGGAAAUCUGUUCUUGGUUUGACAGUGUUAUUUCCUGUUUCAUUGGGUUUUCUGGGGCUGAGAGUAUGUGACUUGCCCAAGAUCACCCAGUGGGUUUCCAUGACUGAGUGGGGAAUCAAGCCACAAUUGCAAUCCGACUUUCAAACCAGUACACUACACCAUGCUGUCUCAAAAUGGCCCAGUGCUAGCCAGGAGAGAAAACGCUCCAGGCUUGGUUUCUAUGUAAAAUGGGCUUUAAUGCCCCAAUGCAUCCAGGAGUGAAAUGGGCUCUAAUGCCCCAAUGCAUCCAGGAGUGAAAUUGGUUCUAAUGCCCCAUGCUAUUGCCAGGAGUGAAAUGGGAUCUAAUUCCCGAUGUUAUAUCCAGAAGUGAAAUGGGCUCUAAUGCCCCAAUGCUGUAUCCAGGUUUCUAUGGGGCUCUUAAGCCCAAUGCUAGCCAGUAGAUUGGUUGAAAAUGCUUUCUCAUAUAUCCGAAGGUUAUCUGAAGGUAUUCCGAGGAUGGGCUCAAAUGCUUCAAAUUGGAAGGUUAAUUCAGAAGCCCCAAACCACCUCAGAACCCCGUUCAGAACACAAAAUAGAUACGAUUUUAUUAUGAUUAACAAUUCUGAUUGAUUCGCCCAUGCCUACUACUUUAAUGUCGAGACACAGAGGCCUUAAAGAGCCACACACGAUUUUAGUCCAACAAAAGGUUUAUUAUAAAGCAACAAAAAUACACUCAGAGACACUUAACUUCAGUGUCUCUAGCCAAUUUCGGAUUUCGGAAUUCUGGAUAAGGGAUGCUUAACCUAUAUAUAAUGCAGACAGAUAAACAUAAAAGACAGUAGUCUCCAGAAAACAUGUAGUAUGAUGAUGAUUAACUGAUUAUGUGCUUCUUAGACUUACAUCUUGGCUCAGGUGUUAAAUCCUGUGAUAUGCUAUUGUUUACCACAAUGUGUUAUAUAACAUUUAGUGUGGAGUAGGCUAGCAAGUUGUUAAAGGCCACAUAUAUGGUAAAUACAUGACAAUAUGUCUGUGAGGGUCUACUUUCUGGUUGGGUUAGAAUUCCAUCCUGAGUCUGUGGCCAGGAAAGAAGGGACAGUGAAGGUCAAACUGUGCUAGUUGUGACUCAGGCUUAUUUUAUAUUGAAGCAUUAUUAGAUUUAGAUCAUAGUGAACACAUGUGCAAUUGAAGCUUUCUUCUCCUCCCACUGCAGCCUUCUGUGGUACCAAAACCCUAACUCCAAAGGACGUUGUAGUCUUCUGUGAUACAUUUUACAUUAUAUGUAAGAUUAUGAGAAGGAUUGUCACAGAUUCUGAUGGAAGCAGCAGGAUUUUAGGAAAUGCACCAUUUGAUCUUCGUUACAAUUUAAUGGACACUAGUGAGGACUAUAAGAUGGUAACUGAUAAGCAAAAUUUAUAAUGUAAAGCUUUUGUAAGAUCCAGAUGCAUUUUAAAGGCUUGAAUGACAAGAAAGUUAAAACAAAGAAUGCAAUUUAUCAGCACUAGCAAUGAAGUUACAAAAAUGCCAACUUAUGGACAAGUUCAUCUCUACUCUUUAAAAUUUUCUCAGAAUAAAAUUGGCAUACCCUUUCCCACCAUCCUCCACUAUUUAUGCGGUCUGAUUCUUCAGUACAUAUCAAGCUCUUGCACUUUGAGAGAAAAUCCAACAAAGUGCCAGCGAGCAUUAUGAAACAAGUUAAUUUCUGUUCAGUUUUUAAUGUUCUGUCUUCUUGUGUAAAUUGUGUGUGUGGACUCAUUUUAAAGCAAUUAUGUUUAGUAUUGCAAAUUUGUUGUGCUCAAUGAAUGAGUCACAAUGUGCAAUGUUCUGUGGGUUUUUGUAUGGUUAACCUUAUUCACAGUGUUGGGUUUGUUCUUGGUGUUUUGUUUUUUGGGGGGGACAAUCUUAGUAACCAUUUUCUCUUUAAACUAGUUGUGUAACUUCUUAGAAUUUUUAAAGCAAUUUUACACUUGUCUCUGCUUCAUUUUUCCAAUUUUUAUGGCCACUAGGGCAUCUUUUCACAUGACACACUGGCUGCCCCCCCCCCCCUUACCAUGUUGCAUCAUGCCACAUUGACUGCCGCAAAUUUCUACAUCACAGCUAGUGAUAUAGGUAUGUUUCCUGCAAUUUUCUCUCUUUUUAGCACUAUUUUCGUACUUCCCAUCUCAUGGGAAGGAAGAGGGUGGGCACGCAGCUCACAGGGCAACUCGAGUCAGCCCACGUCCUCCCUCUAGCCCACAAAAUGUUACUGGGGAGAGGGUGGAGGUGGCAUAGUGUAAUGUGGUUCUAAAUCACUUACUGUAAUUUAUUGAUGUUUGUCUCUUUCUCCCCUCAUCUAUUUUUCCCCUUCUUUACAUUUAUCUAUGUUUCAGGACUAUAUUCUUCAGAUGCUUGUGCUCCAAAGUUCUCAAGCUCCUUUACAAUCUUCAAAUACUUAGCUAUGGCUAAUCUCUUUGCUUCUUCCCUCUUCCUUUCUUUUCAAGAUCUUAAACCUUCAAAUACUGAGGUUAUGAAGGUCAUGUUCUCUGUUUAAAAUUAGCAGUUGCCAGUUGUUUCUGCAUUUUGAAUAAACAGAAAGGAAUUUAGACAGUUCAGUUUAGAUGGAAUCCACAGUAGGGAUUUCUCAAAAAGACUCCAUGUCAAAUACUAUAAACAUCUAAUAUUAAUUAUAGAUGUUUUAAUAUUAAUUAUAGUUCACACCUCUACUUGCCACUGAAUUUCAAACAAAGUUCUGAUGAAAGAAAACAAUAGGAAUGUCUCACAAAAGUAUAUUUCUAAGAAAAGUUCUCCUCCUCCCUGGUUGUAAUCAAACUUGUAAUCCGACUUCUGACAUUAAUAACAUGCACAAACCCAGCUUCUUUCCAUAUUAUGUGUAUAAAUUGAAAUAAGAAUAUAAGAGCCUUGCCAUGUCAUGUCUAUGUUCACUACAACCAGCAGUGUAGUGAACAUUUCAAGUGCCCACAGCAGUACAUAAAGGCAAUGACUUCUGACCUUUCUUUCAGUGCUCCCAGAUAAAUACCAGAUAAAUACCUGGUGUCACAGUGUGUUAAAGUGCUGAGCUGCUGAACUUGUGGACCAAAAGGUCCCAGGUUCAAAUCCCGGGAGUGGAAUGAGCCCCCGCUGUUAGCCCCAGCUCCUGCCAACCUAGCAGUUCGAAAACAUGCCAAUGUGAGUAGAUCAAUAGGUACCGCUCCGGUGGGAAGGUAAUGGCACUCCAUGCAGUCAUGCUGGAAACCUUUACCUUUACCUUAAACUUGGAUGUGGACACUUAUUGGUCAUCCAUAGCCCCAGAAGAUGUAGCAUUUGAUGGGUAUUAGUACACAUUUAGACAAAGUUUAUGAAUUGCAACCGUAAAAUACUUUGUUUUUUUCAUUCCUAUCUUGCUAGCAGUGAUUCAUAGUUUCAAAUGAAUAAACAAAAUUGGAAACAGAAUAAAAUAUAAGGAAAUACUGAAUUAAAUGGAACAUUUUAUACACCAUUCUAAAAGUCCACGACAAGUUUAUUUGAAGCAAAUUUUACCCAUCCCAGCCAUGCUGGUAAAAUAUAUCCCUGGAGAAGGCAUGUAAAGAUCAAGCUCCCUGAAUUCAGAAUGGCCUCCAUUCAAAUUUACAAUUGGGUCCUCUGUGCCCACAGAUUCUGAAUCCAUGGAUUCAACCACCCACAGCUUGAAAAUAUUUCUGGCCUGCACUCCCAAUCCAAAUAAUAAACCUUGAUUUCCUUCUUUUUAUAUAAGGGACACCAUUGCAUGGCACCAUAGUAUACAAAAGGAUUUAGGCAUCCAUGGAUUUUGGUAUCUUGGGUAGGGAUGGGGAGCAGCCGAUACCAAGGGUCCACUGUACCUCUUUAUCAGCACAAGCAUAUAGCUCUCUUUAUGUGGCUCACACGCCUCAGAAUAUGAGAUUUCAAGGUACUAACUAAAUCUAUGCAACAUAUUUAGGGGUACAUGGUUAUCCACAAAUACUUUAAACCAAACAUUGAGUUUUUAAAAACUCAGGGCUCUGAAAACAUGUUCAUCUGAGGAAAGUAAAAACUUAAAUCUCUUUGAAGAUAUUUUUCUCCACCUUUGAAGUGAACUCUGAUUUUUAAAUGUACAUCCAAGUUAACAUCUGGUGAAUGUUAAAAAUUAAAGAAGCAGUCCAUGGAACCAGUGAAAGAAAGUACUAUUGUCUGUUGUAGUAGAGGUUAUUUCUGCAAUGCCAUUAUGACAUCCAAUCUUAAAUCAUACUCUACUGAAAUGAAGGAUGAUCAGCAAAUUGAUUCCUGUUUUGACUUAGUUACUUAAUUGAGCCUGGGUUCCUUGUAUAAUCUGGUUUGCCCCAAUUUUGAAUAUCAACCUUUAGAUAGCUAUAUGUGGCAGCAUCACUGCAAAUGUAGAAGGCAAAAAAGGAAUUGAUUAAUUGGUGUCCAGAUAACUGUGUUUUUUAAGGGGGGAAUUAAUUGCAUCUCAUAAAUGUAUACUUGCUUUCAGAUAUUUUUAAUUCACUAGCAUUUUGGUUGUGAACAAUACAUGCCAUUUAUCUUUCUAGUAUAGAAGCGGUGGGAAUAAUAUGGACUCAAGCCAUGGUGAAAUUUGGUCAUACUUGUGCUUUUCUGUUGAGAGUACUCACUGUGUCCCUGUGUCCCUUGGCUAGGAAGAGUUUAAGUAAAUGUCAUUUCCUCCCUGCCAAUCUCUCUCCCUCUUUGUAGGUCCAUUAAUCAGCAGGAAUUAGGUUUCUGCAGAACCACAACUUUGACAGCUGGUUCACUAUUAUUUUCCAUUCAGCAAGUUCUCAUUCAUUCAUUCAUUCAUUCAUUGAUGAUUGGUACUCAGCUUGAGUCCCUUGGCAUCCCUUGAGACCUUCACCAUGUCUCCAGAAUGGUAGUUUAGUAUACAAUGUGUUGAUUUUUUUUUCUGUAGACCUACAGGCUUCUGGUGGAAGCCAUAAGGGAAUAAGAGGAAGAAUUAGCCUAUGUGUUUGUGUGGCUUUGCUCCAGUAAAUAUUUUGAUGCAUCUGCUGCCAGCUAUGGUCUGAGGGAAUCUACCUAGCAUUUAAAUUUUGAUGGGGAGCUGUUUUGAAUAAUAAGAGUGCAGCCGGCUGUGAGUCAGUGCAUGUGUGUUGACUGAAGGAAGAAAAAAAAUCUCAAAGCUUAAUGCUUGCUGAACGCUGAGCUGCAGUGCUUUCCUUUGCCACCUCCUCUUCUUUCUAGUAGAUAUUCCACACAGAUUUUUCCAUUCUUCCUCUUGUUCAUUGGGGUGGGGGAGGGAGGAACAGCAACAAAAAAGAAUAAUAGCCCCUCACCCAAGUAGUAGUUGCAAUGGGUGCUGUCAUGGGCACGUUCUCUUCUCUGCAAACCAAACAAAGAAGACCCUCGAGAGGUAAGUCAGGACUAUUGGGCAAUUUGGUGAAAUGUACGGUUUGGGGAUAUAAGGAACCAAAGUAAGCCUUCUUCAAGCUGUCGCAGCCUGUUACCGAGGUUAGAUUGUCAUCUAAAAGUUUGCAUUGCCCUCCAGCUAGAAGACCAGAAUGCAGAGGACCCUUUUGCCAAAUUAACAAUAGCUGCAGCAGUGCUGUAUUAGCCCUACUGAAUUCAGUGGGCUAUUGGAACAGAGGUUUGCCAUCCUCAGAUUUUAAGUGUAUUACCUAGAACAGAGAUGGGAAAAAUACAUCUCUGGGGCCACAUGCACCUCCACAAAGGUACUUUUAAGCCCUUUGGCUUAUCCAAAAACCUUAGGACUGUCUUUUUCUGCCACCUUUUAAUAUAAAACAUUUUUUUUAAAAAAAACAACAACCCAUAAGUGGCCUUCCAGCAACUUCCAGUUCAGGGAUGAGUGUGGCAGUCCUAAGAUGAUCUCAAGGCCCAAAAAUGUCCUCUGAACAUGUAGAAGCAGCUGCCCAUUCCUGAUCUAGAAGGUCAGCAUCAAAUGCCAUUUUUAUUUUUACUAUUAAAGGCAAUUUCUAUACCACUUUUCAUUCCCUAAACCUCCAAGUAGGCUACUGUAUUAAUGGCACUGAGUCUCUAAUUCCACUUUAUUUCUCUCUAGUAAAGAUGUGCAACACACUCAUCAGUGACUCUGUUGGGCACUCUGAUUCCAACUUCCCAGUAAUUAUUUUCCUUUCCAUAUCUUUCUAAGAGAUCCAGUCCUUCCCCUGAGGCCAGGGCAAGUAAACAGGUCAUACACUGAAAGGCUUACUUUGUGGCCGACUUGACAGGGAAAUCAUCAGACCAAAGAACAUUGCUGCUGUGGCCAACCAUUUUAUGACUGCUUUGGGACAGGCAUGCUGGGCUUCCUACAUGACUCUCGCUGCUCUGAACUACUCUUGCUAGCAAGAAGCACAUUCUCUCAUUCGUCUUGGCAUUGAAAUCAAGGCCCUUUGAUCAACUGUCUUUCAUUGUUUUUGAUUCCAUGGCUCUAAAUCUUCUUUUAUUUCAGGGUUUUCCUCCUUUUGUUUCUCUCUUUGGUAUGAUUUGAUAUUGUAUGGAUACAGUUUGCAUCUUAAUAGGUCAUAGAGAAUGAGCUCUCUGCAGGUGGUCAGCCAGAAAUUCUGGGAGUUUCUACAGGAAACAUCACCUCUUCCUUCUAAUAAUGUAACCAUGUCUUGUUUCUGCUUACUUACAUUUUUUGUUUUUAAUCUAGAAUACUAUUAACAUAUAUGCUUGGUUUAUUCAGCAGUGCUUCCUAAAAAACAAACAAACAAAGUGUUGGAUUUAGGGUGUUGUUUUGGUUUGUUCCUUUCCUCCAGGUUUGGGCUGCUGUUAUGACUCAAUCUGUCUAUAUUUCUUAUCAAAGCACCUUCCACAAAUUACAUAAAGAGAUGUCACAUACCAGUACUUCCUUUGCACUGCUGGCAUACAUUUCGUGUGUUUUUAAAAACAGUGCAGUGUAUUACUAUUCAACAUGCUGAGAAACAAGUCCCAACAAUUUCAUUGAACCUUAUCCUCAGAUAAAGUUUCUAGUUAUGGAAAUGUAUUUUGUGAGGCACCACUGCACACAUAUUCAAUAAGCUAUCAAUACCUGUCUGGCAAAAAAACUCUUAUUUGUCUGGCUGUGUGCAGAUAAGUGAAAAAUGUUGCCCAGGAGUAGCUACAUUUCCCUGUUGGAAAUUAUAAUGUGAGGAAUGUUCUAUAUGUCUGUAUGUCUGGGCAGUAUGAUAGUUUAAGGAUACUUACUGUACCUCACAGGGUGAUGAAAAUGAUCAUGCACCAAAGGAAACUUCCUGUUUCAAAUUUCCAGCCAAUCCACAUCAUACAUCUGUUAAACUACAGAAAUAUUUCUCAUUAUAAAUAUGUAUCUAGGAGCCUAUUUUGAUUUGUUGGUUCCCCCCAAAUAGGAAGGCUGUUGUAAUGGCUCAGAUAGGGUCAACUGCUCUGCAGUUCAUUGGGCUGUAUAAUAUACAUGCAGAUAUAUUUUAGAGAUAAUUUGAGACUAAACACUAGAAUAGUUGAUGCAUUUAGAUGAAUGCCUGCAAUUCAGAAUGUAUUACUACGCACACUGAUGCUCAAGGAUAGUGAGUGUAGUAAUACAUUUCGAACUGUAGGGCUUUCAUCUUGAUAGAAUCCAUAGCCAUUCCGUGAAGGAGAAUUGAAAAAUAGAGCCAGCCAUGUAGAUCAUAUCAACAAAUACGUUUCUGAUCUCCAUGAAUAAGAUAUUUUGUAAAGCUAAUAUAUCUUAACUGCCUAUUUGAGGCCAGGCAAACCAAAAUACUUUGGAUAAUAACAGGGAUAGUGCAGCAACAUUGAUGGUUUCUUAGAAAACACAUUUUCCUACAGUUGCUAUGAAUAUGGCCACAAAACUCAGGUCCCUUCUGCACAGCUGUAUAAAAUCCAUAUUGAACUGGGUUAUAUGGCAGUGUGGACUCAGAUAACCCAGUUCAAAGCAGUGGAUUAUCUGCCUUGAUAUUCUGGGUUAUAUGGCUGUGUGGAAGGGCCUUCAGAGGAAACAGAGAAGUAAUAAAUAAAGUCAUUAUUUCUCCAGAUUAAAAAAAAAAUCCUUGUUCGCCAACUCUACACUAUCCUAUAGCCCCAAGAACAGGCAAGUUAUUUUAGACAGAUAGAAACCAUUUCUGCUUUAGUAUUGGUCAGAAGAUUACCUUCUGAACCCAUCUUCAGAGAGCAAAAUGUCUUUAGUCAUUGCUGGAGCUCAAUGUCACUUUGUCUAAUUCGGCACGAGGACAAAGAAAGCCUUUUAGUGGUGGAUCAAUGUCCCCACUUCUCUUACAGCCCUUCUAAACAGCCAUAUAACCCAGAAUAUCAAGGCAGAUAAUCCACAAUAUCUGCUUUUAACUGGAUUAUGUGAGUCCACACUGCCAUAUAAUCUAGUUCAAUGUGGGUUUUAUGUAGCUGUGUGGAAGGGGCCUUACAUUCAAAUACAACUUGAUUGGUACCUAUGUUUGACUUUGCUGUGUUUGCAGACAAUAUCACAGAUAAUAGCAAAGCAAAAACCUAUGUUUUUCUGCUUCACUGAACAAGAAGGACAUACAUCCUUCCCCUUCCACACAGCUGAAUAAAAUCCCAGGUUAUCUGCUUUGAACUGGAAUAUAUGGUAGUGUAAACUCAGAUCACCCAGUUCAAAGCAGAUGUUUUGAGGUUUUCUGCCUUGAUAUUCUAGGUUAUAUGCCUGUGUGGAAGGGCCCUGAGUGAUUACCAGGGAGAACAGCUGCUUAGAAUCCUUGCAUGUAUGAGCCCUUCCACACAACCUUAUAUCCCAGAAUAUCAAGGUAGGAAAUCCCACAACAUCUGCUUUGAACUGGUGCCCCUUCCACACAGCUGAAUAAAAUCCCACAUUUUCUGCUUUGAAGUGGAAUAUAUGGCAGUGUGGACUCAAAUAACCCAGUUCAAAACAGAUAUUGUGUGUAUUUCUGCCUUGAUAUUUUGGGUUAUGUGACUGUGUGGAAGGGUCCUGGGUUAUUUGAGUCCUCCUCACUCAGAUAAUGUGUGAUUUUCUUUCUUGCUAUUCUGGGAUAUAAGGCUGUGUGGAAGUGCCCUAUGUGUGGGAGUGGUUUAUUAUUAGUAUGUUAGGAAGAAAGUCAAGUUUAUUAUCAGUAAGUUAGGAAGGAGCAGGAAGAAAAAAACACAUUCUCUUACCAAUCCUAACUGGUUCCUCUAUAAGCUAAGCCACAUUCCAGGAGUUGUAGUCUUGUUAGAACCAAAAUCAAAAUGCAGUGAGAGCCUCCCAACAGAAUGUAGUCAGGAAGUGUUCUGUUUCCACCAAGCAGCCAGAGUUCCUAUGUGGCUUGUAAUUCUAUACAUUGUAAAAUGAAGGCUACCAGCUUUGUCUCACUUCACAGCUGUAUUUUUACAGCAUCUCAGAUGGGUACUUCUUGAGAUCUUUAUUGCAGCUUUAUGCUGUGCCUCAGGAGAAGGAUGUGGACCAGAAGCCUCAGUUUAUGCCUCUCUCCUGGGCGGAGUGAUUUUUCCUCUUCCUCCUCCUGCUCAGAUCUCAAUCUAGUCUACCAAAGUGAAGAACAACUCACUGGGUAAGUCUGAUUCUUCAUCAGGAAAAGAGUCCUUGAGGAAGGAGUCUGACACUGGCAACCGCCUUCUCACUUCUGGGAAGCUAUUACUUCCAUUAAACCAUUGCACAAGCUGUGUAGUGACAUGUGAAUGAUACUGGGACAUCGCCUUUGCCCUAGAGACUUUCAUUCGCUACUGAGAUGUACCUACCCAGGUGUGUUGUGUAGUUCAGUAAAAAUACUGCUCCAGGAAAUACUGGUUACUUCCUAGACAAUGUCCAAAAAUAUAUUAACUUUGCAUAAUUUUGGUUAGCCCAACCUAAGUCACCAAAGUGAUUCUAAACAUUGUAAUGUAUCCACAUCAAGGAACCUUUGGCUCUCCCAGUGUUUCAUACUAUAGUUUCAAUAUUUUAUAUUGUAGACCAUAUUAGCUAUGGCUUCAUCUCUAGCUAUUUGCUAAAUAUCACUGAAAUAUGCAUUUACAAGGUGACAUUUUAGAUGCCUAGAAGAGCCUCCAGUGGCUCUGUGUUAAAGCACUGAGCUGCUGAACUUGCAGACCGAAAGGUCCCAGGUUCAAAUCUGGGGAAGCGGAGUGAGCACCUGCUGUUAGCUCCAGUUUCUACCAACCUAGCAGUUUGAAAACAUGCAAAUGUGAGUAGAUCAAUAGGUACCACUCCGGCAGGAGGGACCGGCGUUCCAUGUAGUCAUGCCAGCCACAUGACCUUGGAGGUGUCUAUGGACAACGCUGGCUAUUCGGCUUAGAAAUGGAGAUGAGCACCAACCCCCAGAGUCGGACACGACUGGACUUAAUGUUGGGGAAACCUUUACCUUUACUUAGAAGAACCCUCCUCGGUUUGGCUGAAUAGGAAGCAUCAACAUCUGUCAUCUUUUUGAAGCUGUACAAGUAGGCAACCAUAACUGUAUCUCAUAUCAGCAAAUUCCAUUGUUUAAAUAGGAUAUCUCUGGUUGGAGGAAAUAUUCCCUUUUAUCUAGCUUGAAUCUCCCUACAGUUUCACUGAAUCAUUCCAAGUUUGAGCAUUAUGAUACACACAGAGAAUAAAGCUUAUCACUAUGUAUUUUUAUAUACACUUCCAGCCAGGCCCAUAGCCAGGAUUUUGAUUCGGGGGUUGCUGGGAUUUUACUUCAGUUUGGGGGGGGGGGCUGAGUCUGGGUGGGAGAGGAUCUACCCUAGCAAACCUUUUGUAUCGUUAUCCCAAUACCCCUAUGCAUAUGGGAUACAUUGAGCAUGGUGAUCAGAUCAUGAUAUGAAUAAACAUAACUGUUUAAAUAAUAAAUUUAAGGUCUUUUUGCAGACCACUCUGAGAAUUUCAGAGGGGGGGAGCUGAAGCCCCUCAAGCCCCCCCCCCCCCCCCGGCUACAUGCCGGCCUCCAGCAUGUCUCUGCUGACCUUUCUUUAUUUCUAUAUUAAAUAGUCCCAGAGGGAAGUUACUCCAGUUCCUUGAUGAUUUAUGCAUUUUUCCAGCUCUCCCAUGUCUUUUUCUAAGGGUAUUUCUACACAGCUGAAUAAAAUUCCACAUUAUCUGAUUUGAACUGGAAUAUAUGGCAGUGUGGUCUCAGAUAACACAGUUAAAAGCAGAUAGUGUAGGAUUUUCUGCCUUGAUAUUCUGGUAUUUAGGGCUAUAUGGAAGAGCUCUCAGUGUGGUGACCAGAACUAUGCACAGUGUCAUAGAAGUGAUUAUACUAUGGAUUUGUACAAAGGCCAUGCGAUAUUGACAAUUUUGUUUGAUUUUUAUUCCUUUUCUAAUUAUGCCCAUUGUGGAACACAACUUUUCACAAAAGCUGUGCUUUUAAUCAGUAGUUUCACUGAGUGACCCAACACAGCCCCAACAUUUCUUUAUUUCAUUACAAUUAAUUUGUAGUUAGCAGACAACAAAUCUUGAUCUUCUGCUUUUGUCAUUACUACUUGCUUCAGUUUUCCUUCCUGGAAACAUCAGUCUGAGGGUGCUUCCACAUAGCCAUAUAGCCCAGAAUAUCUAGGCAGAUAAUCCACAAUAUCUGCUUUGAACUUUUUCUCUGAAUCCAUACUGCCAUUUAAUCCAGUUCAAUAUUUUGUAUUUUAUACAGCUGUGUAGAAGGAGACAGAGAAUAGAUAUUUGAUCCAUCUAUAUGUGAUCAGUUAAGAUAGAUGGGAAAAAAUCCAUUCAGCUUUUCUGCAAUAUCCUUAAGCCCCAUUAUACUCCUUUAAUUCAAUUUCCAUCCAAUAGCACUAUGGCCUCCUUAGCUGUUAUCCUCACUUGAUACUCUUAAAUAAUUAUUGGUGGUCUUAAUGCUUCUGGAGUAGUUUCAUAUCCUUCUGGAUUUGCAAUUUAUACAUACCUUUCUCAAUCAGAUUUCUUUUCCCCACAGAUGUACAGAAAUAUAUGCCUUUUGGUGUGUUUUCCCCCAAUAUUUCUCCAUAGCUCUUCAGCCAAGUUAAUGGAAUUAAAUAGAUUUUGUCAAAAGCACAAGAUAAGAUUGCAAAGCGAUCAAGGCAUUUUUGUGAUUUGAGUUUGCAGGUCUGGGGGUGGUAUCUUUCUAAGAAAUGUGAUACCCUUGUUGAUAUGGCACUAAGUAGGAAAAAAGAAGCAAUUUUAAUGGGUUAUCAUUGAUAUGAUAGUUCCUUAGUUUUUUCAGUGACAGAAGAAUAGCAUAUUUCAUAUGCAAAUAGCUCCUCUUUCAGAACCAUAUCCAAUGUUCUCAGCAUUUGGAUUAGAUUAUAUGAAAAAUUAACUGAGGGUAUGAUAAUAAUGCCAUGGUGGAAAAAGUAGGAGGAAGCCAAAUAAAUCUAUAAUACACUCAAUUUAUCCAAGGAAUUGGUUUAAUGAAAAUGGGAUUUUUUAAAUUUUCUUAUGCAAUGCAGUUUCUUACUGUCUACUAAAAACUUUUGAGGUGAGCAAUAAGAAUGCAUUUCUCAUACUCCAAUAUUAACUACUAAGCAUGUGCGAUCUGUGUUUGACUGAUCCACAGAGUUUUGGCGAAUUUUCAAAGGUUUUUUUAAAAUAAAAAACAUUUUUAAUAAUAAAGAAAAUCUGUUCCUGGUUUGAAAGCAUUACUUCCUGUUUUACUGUGCGAUCUUUACUUUGAAAGUUUGACUUCGCCUCUCAGCAGGGCUUGGUUGCCCUGUGAAUUUUAGCUGCAGAGCUACAUCUGAAGACAUCCAAGGCUUAAGAAUCGAAGGAUCCUUCUGAUUCAAUUUCUUAAUAUUGGGGAGGGGGGGGAGCAAGCAGAUGGGUCGGAACCCCCUUCAGAAGUGCUAAAGUUCUAAAUUAGAUCCAGCUUUUUAGAACAUCUGCACCAAAAGCACAAGCCUAUUAACUGAGUAUUUUGAUUUUUGUAGACAUUCAGUAGUUAUUAUUUCCUUUGUUCCAUUUCCUGCCAUUUCAGAAUCAGUGUAAGUUCUGUGUCCAUUUGAUGAUCUUGCUUAUAUCUAGUUGAGUAUAAUUUCCUUAGUUUAAUUUAUUGUCACUACUUCUUAAAUGUUGGAACAUUGUAUAAAAGUUAAUGUUGGAACAGGAGAUUAGCCAAUGAAGCUCUUUUGGCAACAAAUGGUUAACAGUCAGUAUGCACAUGUAGAAAAUUAUUUAUCCAAAGACUACAUGAAAAUAUGUAUCCCAGUAGAAAUAAAAACCUGUAUAGUUUGGGCUCUUCAGCUCCUCAUGACAUCUUAGAAAUCAAUAUCUAAAACAUCUGUUAGUUUCAUGAAACAACUGGCUUGUUGUCUUUUCAUCUAGAAUUCCCAGUGAGCAGUUGUUUUGCUUCAAUUUCUGGCUAAAACAUUUCCAUUCAAGUGUAAGGAAACAAGCCUACAAAAUGCCAAAACCAGAAGUGUUUUUUCCCCUCUGCAAGGCAUCUCUAGUAUAGGAUAAAAAGCCUUGACUAAAAAAAAAUGUAAUAAAAAGUCCUAUAACAUUUUAUUGUCAGUAAAAAUGACACAUCAUAUCUUUGCAAAUAGAUACCUAUCUCUAGCCUUGUGACUGUGAAACACAAUUAUCACAUAUUAUUUCUGGUUCAAGGGAAAUGGCAGCCACAAGGAAAAUGAAGUUUGGAGUGGCACUGGAAUGAUCUCGCUGAAAAGGUUAAUAAAUGUCCCUCCCUAAACUGACAAUCCCAGAACUGAUCACUGGGAAUUCUAGGGUGAAACUGUGGAAGUUAAAGUGGAAUCAUAACAGUAUGGUCUGUAGUAUGAGUGGGCCUCUGACUUUUGCCUGGGCAUGUAGAGUUCUGUUUGCAAAACUGGAAGUUCACGUCAGACUGCUUAUUAGUCUUUAUAAGAGCACAAGUUAUUUUUGGACUACAACUCCCAAAUUCCUCAUGCUGCCUGAAGAAUUGUGGGGAUCUAAUCUGAAAAGUAUUUUUAAAGUCCUUGCAUUUUUCCUACUGUUCCUAAGUCCCAACUACUCACUUGGGGGCUUUAUGAUAUAAACUCCUAGCUUAUAAUGGAGAAUAUGAAUUUUCACAGUGUAUGAAAGCUGAGCUCCUUUGAAUAUCACAUUGUUCACAAAGUGUGCCAGUUUCCCCAGAAUGCCAUUAUAUUGUCUAUUAUAUUGGCAUAGGCAAACUAAGGCCCACAGGCCAGAUACAGCCCUCUGGGGGCUUAUGCCCCGCCCUCCAAAUUUUCCCAGUCCUCUGGGCAUAAGGAAGCAGCAGCCUGCCAUGUCCUUUUACUGAAAGCAUGAGGGAUGGAGGCAUGUGGCGGCUGGGAGUGUUGAACCCCAGGCCUGGAAAACCUUAUGACCACAGCACCACACAAGAUGCCAGAGUAUCAGCAAACAGUUUAUCUAAAAACACAUAAAAUAUAUGAAAAAGCAGGAAUAAGGGAAGAAAAGGUAUAUUCCAGGAAAGGGUCAGCAAUAGGUGAUAAUCAGGCAGUAAUCCAAAAGUCUCAUGCAAAUCCCAAGUUAAUAUAGCCAGAAAGUCACAAGUACAGCAUAAAUUCACAAGCAAAGGUAUAUUUAGCAAAAACUUGAGCAAGAGUACAAAACGAGAACAUAGAAAACUUCCAGGAUACUUUAAUCCAAUAACAAGGCUGGACUUGGAACAAGAACCAGCUAACACAGGCCUAGCUUCCUCACUUGAAUGCUAUAUUUCCUGAACUGAACUCUUAGGAAAACAACUUGCUAAUUAAUAGACAGCCAUGAAGUCAUUUCACUUCCCAUGAAAUCUCUCCUCAAUUUUCCCAUGUAGAUGCUCCAAUCAGAGUGGUCUAUUUUCUGCUGUAAUCUGUAAACAAAGACUUUUGUUGACCUCAGUAGCUCUAGGUGUUUUUCCCUAGGAGCCUUCAGUAUCACUUUGUUCUUCACCCAACUCUGUGUCUAAUGUUGCAGUUUCUGGCUCCUCUGGCUGACCUUGGAGCCUUGUACUUUUCCCCAGAGAGAACCAUCAUUUUCCUGACUUGAAUUUUCAUCACUUUGUGCCCCAGUGUCAGGGAUUCCUCUUCUUCAGAAGAGGAAGGGGAGCAGGAAAGUGUUCAUUAAUCUGAGGGUGAGUUGGAGUCUGAGGAGGAGACUUUGCUAGUACUCCAAGCCAUGAGAGUCCAAAGGAAACAGAGCAGUGACAUCAUUCAGAUAGAUUAGCUGCCAGAAAUGCAUCUCAGUAAUUAGGAACUGCCCUAGCAGCUGUGUGGAGACCCAGGGCUAUAAAAGCCGAAGCAGGUGCAGCCAGUUCUUGCUGGUAACAAACUGACUCUAAUGCCUUCACUCUCUGUGUGCCUGCUCCAAGUCUGCAUCUGGAUUUAUGCCUAUUUCUUUGUCUGAAGUAAGACUUCCUUGCUUUCUUUUGCAUUAUUUCACUGAGUAUACUGUACUUUAUGUUUGCUGAAGUAAAGCAGUUUUCAUUUACUUACCACAGUGUUUUAAGGCUGUUCUUGAAAGACAAAACAGGACAUCCAGGAAAACUCACAGGAAAUCCCACAAUUCUCUCUAAACUAUCAGUGAACCCAUCAGCCUCAGGCUGUACUACAACAAGGAGCCCUCUUGAAUGCUUUCAGCCCACUGUGUGCCUUCCUUGGGCUCUCCUCCCAGAAUAAGGACGGGGUGAGCGGUGCUGUCCUGAUACUGAGAGAAGCCCAGCCCAGGGAAGGAGGUAGGCGGAGAUCAAGGGAGCUCAAAAGCACCCUCACCCACGCCUGCCUCUCUUUUCUGCCAGCAUCAGGAGCGGCCAGGCCCUGUCCUGAUGCUGGCAGAAGGGAGAGGCAGGCAGGCAGGGGCUGAGGGCGUGCCAAAGCCUCCAAAACCUCCCUCCCAGCAUAAGGAUAAGGUGAGUAGCUCCAUCCUUAUGCUGGGAGGAAAGCCAGAGGGUAAUCUGCCCCUGACACUGUCCCUCCAGCCCUGACACUGCCCCUCCAGCCCCCUGCCCCUCCCCCUCCUGGGCUCACCCCACCCAACCCCAACUUCUCCCAGUCCUGCCUCCCCCCAGUCCCACCCCACCCAUGCCUGGUCUAACUGCUUUUUAGGUAAGAAACCAGAUGUUUGUUAAGACAAAUAUGGUAAGACAAAGGGAAGUUCUAAGUAAUUAGGAUGACAAAAUAGGGAGCCAUGUCUGUUCAGUGUUUCAUUUGAAAAAAAAAAGACAAGCUAAACAUUGUGCUUAGGACAGUUGAAGAGGAAACAUGAGAAAAAGCAAGCCUGAGAGUUCCAGGAUUGAUCAGAAUAAAAGUUAUGCAUAGAUUGAACAGAUGCAAGAACUUCCAGCAAUCUAAGCUAUCUCCUCCUCAUGCAAAGAUAAGUAUGCUUUUUCUCUUUAAAAUGUCAUUAAUUUUUAUUAUAUUUGUACAAUAUGUAGUAUCCCAGAACAACAAUAAUUCAUAAUUUAAAAUCUUGAAUUUAUCUCAUCCACUCUCCCCCUCCCGCAAUAAUGGAUUAAUAAAAAAUAAUUACUCAUCAAUCUUCUUGAUUAAUACAUUUCCUCUACACAAUUGUCUAUAUUAUAAAUAACAGUAAUUUUUAUUAAUAAGAGUCACAUCAUUCCCUAGUCAUUAAUUAAGAAUGUCACCUGAUCUUACAAUGGCUUAAAUUUGCUGUUGGUCUGACACAUAACUGAUAAAUGGUUUCCAUAUAACCUCAAACAUUCUCCUUCACCAUUUUGCUAGAACUGAAGCAAGACGUAUUCUUAAUCAAAUUGGAUUCAGAAGUAAGUGUCUGUGACAAUUCAGACCUAUAAUUAGAACUCAGGCCAGGAUCAUGGGCCAGAUCUUCCAUUGCACUCCACCAUACUCUUCCUUUAUUUUCUUUUCUAUUUUGCCAUGAUUCACCCAUUUCACAGACAGGAUACCUCCAGUCCAAAUCCAGCUAAGUUUUCCUCUUGUGCUAAAACAAUUCCUUCCCACUACCAAUAGUUGAAAAUUAAACAAAAAUUGUUACACUUUUUAAAAAGAGUAGUGUUUUGGCCUUUUUAAAAAAGGUGAGUAACCUUUUAAAAUAAGAUCCUUAGGUGAGAGUUUUCUCUGAGUCCCAUCAAUUUCAUAGGCACAUUUGCUGAGAAAGAGUCUUCUUGGUGGCAGCUCCCAGACUGUGUAACUCUCUGCCAGAGGAGACUAUCCUGAUCUCUUUCCUGAUCUCCUUCUACUGUCAAAUACUUUAUAGGUAUACCAAUAAGUCCCUACAUGGCUCAGGCCCUGCCUAUCUCCAUGAUCGCAUCUGACCCUAUGAACGGGUGUGGGCCUUGAAAUCAGCUGGGGAGGCCCUUCUUUUGCUCCCACCGCCAUCCCAAGCGCAUCUGGUGGGGACGAGGGUAGUGCCCUUCUCGGUAGUCCCCCCCCCCCGGCUCUGGAACGCUCUCCCUAAAGAGAUCAGGUUGGCCCCCACGUAGCUCAAUUUUCGAAAGGAAUUAAAAACUUGGCGGUUUCAGAAGGUCUUUGAGUCAGGUUAGUCUCAUUAGCCAAAUCGGACCCCACUCUGGUACACUACCCACCUCUUUGCCCUAAGAUAUGUGCAUACGUUUUUCUAUACCUAAUAUGGACCAUGUUAAUCUGCCCUGAUUAAUGAUUCCUGCGCCCUUGAGCGAAGGUUCUGACUGCGAUUGUUUAUUUUAUUUAUUGUUUAUUUUAACCAAAUUGUUUUUUUUUUAAAUAAUGUGUUUUUAUUGUUUUGCACUCAUUGGAAACUGCCCUGAGUCCAUUCGGGGAGAGAGAGUGGUAGACAAAUAAAGUUGUUGUUGUUGUUGUUAUGUCAGGCAAAUACUAUUUCGUUUAAACAAACAUUUGGUGACUUAGUGGCUGUGCCAAUGGGGUCAAUACCUUGGAUAGCUCCUUAAAAGUUCAGACUAAAGUCUAGAGCAGAUUCACUGACCCACUGAAAUGAAAGCCACUAGUUACACGGUAACAAGGCACGGCUUAUGGGCCAGUAGCACUAAGCUCUUUUCAUGUCAAGACCAGGUUAAGAGUUGUUUCCCUGCAUGGGGCUUAAUGUUACUCUUGCUUCUGACAGUCUGUAAAUCUAUCAUCUCCCACAGACAGAAAGGCCACAUUCAUGCACUAGUAAUUCUCUGUAGGUUGUUCUCUUUCAAACAUUCGUAUAAACAGCAUGAGACAAACCCAGUGAGAAUUCAGAUCUCUUAUGAAAAAGGAGUCACAUCUCAUGGCUGGAACUUUGUGAUAACUGAUCUCAGUGUCCUUCCUCCCUCAUUUGUAAAGUAAUCUCCAAUUCAUUUUUAAAAUCUACGUUCAUUUGAUGAUGUUUACUGUAAAUACAAGCCUCAAAAUAAUGAGGCAGGCCUAGAAUAUUUUGAGGAAAACAGACAGUUUCAAAGCAAGAUCUGCCAUAUAGCAUUGAUUCUUUAAUCUUUUUAACCUCCGUUUCCCACUCAUUUGUUUCUUGCAGGAGUUUGAGAGCUCUCAAAUUAUAUGGGAAGAGAAAAAAUCCCCUAAUGUUGAGGCACUCUGUUGACAAAACAGUUUCUGAGAUCCCCCCCCCCCGUAAAAUAUGUUAUUUAGUUUUGAUGUCUAUCUUCUCCUUUUGUCAUUUUGUCCUUUGGGAACUUGGGUGAGAUCUGUGUCUGCACCAAGUGUUCUGUAUGUACCAUUGACUGGGGUCUCAGGAUACAUUUUGUUCAAAAGAGCAGAAUAACUGUGAUCAAAUUGUAACGGCACACCAAGGGGCUAUUGACUGGAAAGUAGAAGAGAUAAUUCCCUAGUGAAUCACAUGAAUAGGGGAUUUGAUAGAUCUUUGUAGGUGAGUCUAUGAUCAUUCACUUGGUACCUGAUGUUUUCCCAGGAAUGUUGAUGAGAGACAGCAACACAACGUCAGCAACUACAAAAACAGAAAGGAGAAGAGGAGAUCAAAGAGAUAUGUGAACAGAAGAGAAAAUAUUCAGCUGGCUGACAUUUUUAAAAAGAAAUGCUCUUCUGGCCCAUAUUCUUUUGUAAUUGAUGUCGACAUGAUCUACAGCUAUAAAUGGAAAAUGAUGAUAAUUUUAUCUCAGGCAUGGAUGGAGAAUCCCCAGCUCUUAAGCUAAUCUUAACUGAAGUUAAGCUUCUCAAAUCUAAAAUGCUCACCAAAUGAAAUCAUGUGUCCUCUGCAGGAGUGAUCUGUCCCUCAUACCACUUAGUAGUGAGGAGGUGGAGAAGAGGAUCUCAGAAAAAGACCUAGAAAAAGGGACAGAUUCAUGUUGCUUUGGCAGUGGCUCCAUCCAUGGAUGCUUUCAACCCCAUCAAUUGCUAGUUUGUUAUGCUCGCAUAUAUGCAGAGAGAUCACCAAUAUGGGAAUGUGAUCUUUAAUGAACUAAAGGAGAAGUGGGCUCCUGUAUCCCUCCAAGUGUUGUACUGCAGAUCCCAGCAGCCCUAACUAUUAUACCAGUGGUGAAGAAAAGUGGGAGUGGGUUGCUGUGUGUCAGAACCCUGGCAGCAGAGCACCAAUAACCAUACGCAGAGGCCAAUCUCUAUCUAAUAUCUUUAUUAAAGAAAUAUAUAAAAGCAAUAAAAACAAGUGAAGAAUAUAGUUCAGAAGCAGACCUUUCAAAAGAGGUCAAAUAUAGUCCAAAAAUGUAUUGUCCAAUAAAUGAUAUUAGAGUUCAAAGUUUUAAUCCACUUGACCGAAACACACACUUUGCCAAGCAAUAGUGUGGGGAAAUAGCAGAGUCCAAGAGUUCAAUGAAGCUUGACAACAAGGCUGGAAUUAAACUUGAUUCUUGGCUAGAUUCGUAACUGGAAACAAAGGCAAAACAUGAGCGUGGAGCAGGGUCCGUGGUAAAACUGCAAGGCUAGGCAAGGCUCGAAAACUUGAUCCGAGAAGCAAGGAACUGGGGUACGAAGUCCACACACGAUCUCUCUCCUGAAGCUGAUCAAUUGACUCCGCAAAGAAUCCCUCGCGCCAACCACCUAUAUUGGGUCUCGUUUUCCCGCCAACAGAACUCUUUCCCUAGAGAACGAGAAGCGAAACCCAACUCUGUCCAGAUGUGUGACUCCUUAGAAUUUCCCAAGGGAAGCAAGCCUAAUCAGCUUGAUUUCUGGCAGCAAUGUGUAAACUCCUCCGUUGAGCUUCUCUGAUUCCCCUUUCUCUGGAAUAAGAUUCUUUUCUGGGAAACGGGGGGGGGGGGGGGGGGAGUUCUGCCCAAGGCCUGUUUGGCUGAAUUCUUGAGGGCAAACAUCAACAUCCUGCAGGUGAAGAGACUCCGGCUCUUGCUGAACCGGCGAAAACCCCAUGUUUUCCUCUUCGUCUGCCACAAUAGUACUAGGAACAGGACUACAAGGCCCAUGAGUCAUCACACUGUGGGUUUUUUGGGCUGUAUAGCCAUGUUCCAGUAGCAUUUUCGCCUGAUGUUUUGCCUGCAUCAAUGGUAAGCUUCCUUUGAGGAGGCUUGCCACAGAUGCAGGUGAAACAUCAGCAGAGAAUGCUACUGGAACAUGGCCAUAUAGCCCCAAAAACCCACAGCAACUUAAUGAUUCCGGUCAUGAAAGCCUUCAGCAACACAAAGGUGGGAGUUGUAGACUAAGGACCUCAUCACACGGAGGUCAAUAAGCCAGGUGGCAGUGAGGGAAUUUGCCACGCAACAUGGUGAAUCCGGUGAGCACCAGGGGGAAACCUUUGCCCCAUGCCCUGCAUCGCCUGCUACACCCCUUACCUUAUCCCAAUGGGGGGAAGCAUCGCUGUCUGGCUUCCCCCCCAUUCUUCUGAAUGAGAACACAGAAAACUCUUACGUCAUGUGAUAGCAUCUGGCAGGCUCCAUCGAUGGAGCAUCCUGGAAGUGUCCUAGGAUUUUUACCUUUCUCUGUGUGAUGAAGUGAUAUAAGCAUCUGGACGUCUACUCAGUUCCAAUCCCUGACAAAAUGUUGUCCAUCCCUGCUUUAGACUGUGAGUAAACUUCAUUUGCUGAUGAAUGUCAGUCAAGCUGUCAUUGAGGCUAUGCUAGGAAAAAACCCUUGUUAUAAUUAUCAACUGUAACCAGUAGACCUCUAAGGGCUUCACUCAUCAAUUGCCCUGCUCAGAUCCUGCAGGCUCAGGGCUACAGCUUUCUUGACUAAAUAUCGACUUCCUUUUUUUGUACUUCCUCCACUUUAGCACUUUACCAUCAUUUUCAAUAUGCGAUUUCAUUUCAUGUUGUGUCCAAAGUACAAUAACCUCAAUUUAGUCAUUUUGGCUUCCAGUGAGAUUUGUGUUUGAUCUUGGACCCAUUUGUUUUCUUUUUGACUGUGUGUUAUUCGUAGCACCCCAUUUCAAAUGAUUUGAUUUUUUUUUUCUUAUCAGCUUUCUUUACUGUCCAGUUAUCAUCACCAUACAUAAAAAUUGGAAAUACUAUGGCAUGCAUGAUUCUGAUUUUAAUAUUCUGUACAGUAUCCUUACACUUGAAGGUCUUCUCUUUUUUUCAAUGUACAUACAAGCUUGAAUGUAGACUCCUGAAAACAUUAAUUGAAAAGAUGCAUGAGCACAGAGUCUUUUUAUUUGCUGCUAUGGUGAAGAAAGCUUGAAUACACUGUUGUGAUUGAUAGGCUUGCUUGAAGGACAUUGAGAUUGAGUACUGAAGGGGAAGGCGAGAUUAUUUCUGUCAUGACAGGCAGAAAACAUAAACAGGAAUUUUAAAAAACGUAAUGGGCCAUGAAUCAUCUCUUUCUCGUGUCCUUUUGGACUUAUAGGUCAUAAUUAUUGUUGUUAUUGUGUGCCUUCAAGUCAUUUAUGACCCGUGGCAACCCUAAGAUGAACCUAUCACAGGGUUCCAUUGGUCAGAUUUGUUCAGAGGGGGGUUGCUAUUACCCUUUUUGAGGAUGGGAAGGCGUGACUGCUCAAAGUCAUCCAAUUAGUUUCCAUGGCUGAGAAGGGACUUGAACCCUGGUCUCUACAGCCAUGGUCUAAUACUCAAACUACUACAGCAUGCUGGCUGUCAGAUCAUUUUAUAUUAAAACCAUUAAUUUCCACACCCCAUCCAAAGGAACCCAAAACAGAUUGUAGUACCUUUCCUUCAUCCAGGUAUGCUGAUGGCCCACUCUUAUCUUAAUCUAUGAAUAUUAUCAAGUUAGUUUUUUGAGCUUUAUCAAAUUAGUUACUGGAUUCCUAGCAAGAUUUUAAGACCAUUAUAAAAUUAUUUUGUCCUCAGGGUAACCUUUUUCAGUUUUUCCCCAAGAAAUGCUAAAAUCUCUUAAUCAACAUGAUGAAAUUUUCACUUUGAAGGUUGAACAAUAAUGAGUUUAUUUCUCUUUUCCCAAGAACUUGCCCCUAUAUGAUUUUCAGUAUAUCUACAUAUGUUGGAUGAAUUAAUCCAAAAAGUAUUUUUUUUCUGGUUCUGGGUUGGGUAACAAACCUUAUAAAAGUCCUUGGGCAGAUUAAGGUGUGAACUUCUAAAAGGUCCUCAGAUUUGUAGCUUAAUGGGGUGCUAACAUUUUCUAAAAGAGAAUGCUAAAUGUCUCAUGAAAUCAUAAAUCUCAGGAUUCCAUGGAAUGGAAUCCUGGCUUUUGAAGUAGCAUCAAAGAGCCAUAAUUGUGCAGUGUAAGAGACCUCUAGACCUGUUACUACCACUGACCUAGUACUUCCACUGAAGUUUCUGGAGCUCAUCUGUAAGAGAUAAAUGAGGCCAUAGAGAAAGGUGCUUCUAAAGUUUUUUCCAGGAAGCCUGAAGUUGAAGAACACCCACAAAGGUUGGUUCUUGUCAAUGUUCUUCAACUUUUAUUAGGAGCUGGUUGGAUUAGUGAGGUUGGAAAUAUUUAAUGUGAUCAUCCUUGCAUCCCUGCUCAUUGUCAUUUCCUGUUCAACUGAUUCUCAUUAGAAAGUUCAACAGUUCCUGUGCAGUAAGUUAUUGUUGUUGUUGCUGUUGUUUGCCUUCAAGUAAUUCUCAACUUAUAGCAACCGUAAGAGCCUAUCAUUGGCUUUUGCAGAACACCUUUUCAUGUUUUAGCAGAAAGUAACUGACAGUACUAAGGAUUAGGGCUAUGCAAUCAAUGAAAAAAUGUUUCAAAGCUCAUUACAAAAUUAGGGGCCCUGGUAUUUUGUUUCUAAAGUGUUUCUAAAGUGUAGUUAGUGAACAUUUUGUUACUAUAACAAUAGUAACAAAAAUUUUUCACUUUUUCAUUAUAGUAAUUGUUCAAAGAUAAAAUGCUUUGGCCACAUAAUGAGAAGACAGGAAUACUUAGAGAAGAGAAUGAUGCUGGGGAAAAGGAAGAGAGGUCGACCAAGGGCAAGAUGGUAUCCUUGAAGUGACUGGCUUGAUCUUGAAGGAGUUGGGGGUGGCGACGGCCGACAGGGAGCUCUGGCAUGGUCUGGUCCAUGAGGUUAUGAAGAGGUGGAAGUGACUGAAUGAAUAAACAACAACAAAUUGUUCCAAUGGGGAAACUUCAGGGGCUCCUUUUUUGCUCAUAUUAUAAUUAUUGGGGUGAAACUUACUACAAUGGUAGAACCCAUUUACCGCUGUUAGCCCAUCAAGUUUCAGAAUGUUUCACUUAUCCACGGAUAUUUGGGGAAUUUUCAAAAUUUGUAUAAGCAACAUUUUUUUAAAAAAACUACAAGAGCAAUCUCCUUGAAUUUUCUAUAUAAUGACACAAGAUAACACGGGAUCAUUCUCCCCAACCUUCAGAAAAAAAUCAUACAUUUUCUGAUGUUAGGGAAUUUUUAAAAUUUUUGACAAAAAUGUUU